rnacentral:lncRNA from 1 species
UCCUCUUUUCAUGCAGCUUUCUAAUUUUUAAUUUCUCAUACAGCUAUACCGUUUAUAGUUUAAUGUUUUGUUAUGUUUACCAAACGAAAACUUGACUUUGAACGUUAGUUAGUUCAAUCAAAUUUGUACUAAUUUAUUUUCUUCUAAUACAUAAUUAGUUUGUCAGUACGAAACACAAAAAUAAUAUUUCGGAAACCGCAUUGUUCUAGGGGUCAGAUCUGUUUCUAAAUUCAAACAGUUCAGGAUUUUUCAAAAUGGAACUUAUAAUGAGAUUUUUUUUUUUUAAUUAUCUAGUUAUCUUCAUAUGGAAUUUCAAUCUUUGUUAAUACUUUAACUUGCGCCGAAACAUCUAACUAUUCUUCCUCUUAUCCUUUUUUUUUCCCAAAUAUUGCAGCUUUCUUGGGAGAGGUUCAACCAAACUGUAGGGACAGUGAAAAUAUUACUCUUAACGUUGUUCAGAACAGAGGUUCAACGGUUUUAAUGUUGUGUUUUAAAGUUACAAGUAUUAUAUAUUCGUUACGUGUGGUUAUGUAAUUUGCUGAUAUAUAAGUACAUUGAGUGAGGUAUAUGUGUGUGCCUGUGUGGUCAUUACUGAAUUUCUCAGUAAUAUAAUUUGCAUUGACUGCAGAUUUGUGUAAUGGGAACGGUGGUGUCUGUAUUUUUUGCUUUGUGAUUGACGACUUACAUUUGCCCAGGAAGAAAUGAAAACAAAUCGGCUUCUUGAAAUUAACCAUUUAUUCUUUCGAAUGGUAACCUUUUUGUGACAUGAUUCGCAUAUUAAUCAAAAGCAGUUGGCAAACUAAUCAGAUAUUGCAUCGUGAUUCGUGGCCUUGAAGUGAAAUGCGUGAGCAUGUUUGUGGAGGUUUUUGUUUUUGUUUUUUUUUUCCUCCAUAUAAAAUGACUAAUUCGAAAGAAUAUGUAUUGUAAUAGAACCUAGAACUUCUAUGUACUUUAGGAUGAAAAUUCUGUACGAUAGAAAAUAUUAAAACGAAAAUUAAAGUUGAUAUGAGAAAAUUAAAGAAGCUUGCAACUUGGAACUGCAAUCUAGCUCGACCUACUAUAUAUAUAUAUAUAUAUAUAUAUAUAUAUAUAUAUGUUAUUAAUUAAUUGAUCAGGUAAGAUAGGGAGAGACUCGCAGACUCUUUACAAGGAGCAAAAAUGGUAUGAAACUCUGUUUUGAUUAAAAUUCAAUGACUUUCUUCGUAUUAAUCAAAUUAAUUGAUUAAUUAUUUUGGUAAAAAGAAUUUGCGAAAAGUCAUUUUAUCAAAUGAUUUGGUGAAAUUUCAAGUACUUUCAUCUUGGUUUUUGCAGUUAAUAGGAAAUAGUUUGGUCUUGGGAUGUGGUAUAUGUAUCAACUUCUUAUUGCUGGUGAACAUUACUGGUUUAGUGUGCGAUCGUUUACUAUCACUGCAUGCAUUAUCAGUUUAUUUUAUUGAACUAUCCCAAAUCAGUAACGAAUCCUCAAUUCCCUCUGUUUUCUUUGGAUCCUAGUAGUGUUUGGCAUGCAUCAACUAGUGUUCAUGCAUGUGUCGGUUCAUCAUAGACAACUUCAGCACACAUACAACAGCCCUCAUUUCUUCUUAUAUUGUCGGUUCGAUAUCAUUUUGAAAAAUCAUAUCAAAACUGCUUUUGGAGUUCUAAUCCAGUGCAGUUACACCUAUAUUGUACUUUUGAUCUGCAACCUUGAGUCACUGUCAUUUUGCUGUUAGUAUUUCGAUUAGCAACUUGUACAGUGGUAUUUGAACUGCAUGGUAUGUCAACUUUCACUCUAUGUGUCUUAGAAACUCUGUAUAUCACUAAUUUCCUAGCACAGGCCUUGUUGACAGUCAAAGAUUUGAGGCAUAUUUCUGUAUUGAAGGCUUUUCUGUCGUCAAUUUGAUGAUGAGCGCAUGUAUUAUCCCCAAUAUUUUGAGCAGGAACUUGUAACUAGUAAUAACCAGUACCUAAGAUGUUGCAUUUGAUUGACUUCUCUUUCUCGUUUAGUUUCAGCCGUUGGAGUUGUUUCAGACAUGGUAACUGAUACGUAAUUUCUCUCUUUCCACCCCACAAUGUAUCAUUAGUCAUCAUUCGUUCUGGUUGGCGCGGAUACGCAUACUAAUUUGGAUUAUUGUCUGUGCCUUUGUCUUUUGUCAAUAAUCUUUUGCAUUUCAGGAUUAGUACAUCUUGUGUACUGGUAUACUCUCUCAACUAUACAUGUAAGACUUUGUUAUGUUUUCUUGACCCGUAAUCUAAUGCUAUAAGAUGACGGCAUAAUUGAGCUAUUUUGCAUCUCCAUGCAGGCCUGAUUUGGUUUUUGUGUCACUACCUGCAUUAGAUAUUGGUAGUCAAUGGCUGCAGAUGUACAGGUGCCGUUUCGUUUCCCUGACAUAAUCUCAUGUAACAUGAAAUUGCUUGUGAAACUGGAAGAUACUUGAUUCUUUUUUUUUUUCAUUUUUGCUAAAGAAAAGUGUUACUUGCGUUGGGAAAUAUGCCUACCACUCUGGAUCUCCGUUGCAGUACAUUCUUGAGAGGAAAAUCUAGCCAUAAAAUGUAAAAGACAACACAAAUUGGCCUUUCAAAGCCUAUUAUGGGAACCGGAUGUUUAUGGGUUAUAGUUGUGUGGCAUGUGAGGUAAUUGUAGCUUUCCGUGUUAUUAUCCAUAUCAGGAUUUGCAAAUGUUAUCAGUGCUUUUUACCUGAUCCAACUGUUUCAACCCUGCAGCUUCUUUACCUAAUCAUAUUUCUUAUUGCGGAGACGCAGAGUGAAAGUUUGGUGGAUGUAGGUUCUCAUUUUCUUACUAUUAGAUUGUUCUGCAUAUAGAAAGAUUUCCCCUGUUUCUGGCUUUGCAAACAAUCUCUUCUUUCAGGUUGUGGUGGGUGCUGUGCGACAGGGCUCGCCUCUUUCCUUCCUAGUUGCAUUGAGUUUAUUCGGUUGGGCAAUCAAGCAAACGAUCAAUGUCAUAAAGGUAACUUGCACUCCAUAUUAUCGUAAUGUUCGUUUAUUCUGAUACUUCUUCACAAUAAGUAAAUUUCUUGAUGUCUACAAAUUAAGGAGACUUUUGUAUGGGUAAAGUUGACAUUUUACAAUGGCAUUCUGGAUCCUGAAAUCGGUCAGUUUGAGAUUCACAUGCUGUGAUAUGCUCUACUGUUAAAACUCAAACCUUUUCUGUAUCUUAAAUGGAUUGUCGUGGAUAUGCCUGGGAUGAUCAUUUUCUUCCUCUUCACUUCAUCAUCUUUGUCAUAGUAGUUAUAAUUGAUUGAGGAGUGUGAAAACGCAUUGUGAUGAAUGAAUGCACAAGCUAUGUGAUUAAGACUGCAUUUAUUAGGUUGGUGACGGCAAAUAUCAGGCAGGAUAUUCACAAUAGUGCUACUGAAGCUUAAUAUGGAAUAAGGAGACCAAACCUCUAUAUGAUAAGAGUUGUAUGAAUACCAAAUGAAUUGUAAGAGGAUAUGGUUAAUUUAGAUUGUAAUUUAAGAAAGCUUGAGUUCUAAGAGCACAGAAAUGGGAUCAGUCUUGCUCAAGUGUGAACUCCAUCAGUUAGGAAGUUGUCCAUCAAAUGGAAAUAUUUAUGUGAUUCAGAGAAAUUAUGGACUUUUGAUGAAAACAAAAAUCCUGUAUGCAUUUGCUUGCUCCCAAUCCUGUAUGCAUUUGCUUGCCCCGAAGGAGCUGAAAGUUCUCAAAUUGUUUGUAGACGUCAUAGUUCUCCUGAUGUCAUUUGGCUUGGUAAUCUUUUUUGCUCGAAAAUUUGCCCAUUGUGUGGUCUUGACGGUGGGUGAAAUUGAUUUGUGGUUUCAGAUGAAGACAUCAGCAGAUGUGUGUGCGCUAUAUCACAUCGAGAAAAAGCAAAGGCCUUAAAGAGUUCAUCAACAUUUUCCAUUUCAGAAGAAUCUGUUUGUGGUUCUCCUGCUCAAGUGCCUACUUUUCGGGGUGCAGCAUAUAUGUUGAGACCGGCAUAUGAAAUCACUAUACUUUUACAGUUGAUCCGAGGCUUCCCUAGCAAAGGAUUUGGAAUUAAUUUGGGGAAGGGGUGUUUUUUGGGUAUAUGAGUGUGUGCAUUCCUUCAAUCACGUAGCUUCGUGCCAUUGACUUAUUGGCAAUUCCACAAUGGUGAUAAUGAUAAUUUUAUGAUUGGGGCACAGUGUUAGGAACUCUUUACUGGUUUUUUUUUUUCGCAUCUAUGUCUAUGAUUAAGGUUGUUUAAGGUGGUAUGGAUUUCAGUACAUUGAACAAAAAAUUAUUUAUUUUUAUUCAAAUAAAAAUACCUAAAAAUCAAACCUAAGUUAAAAAAAAUAAAGUUUAAAAAAUUCUGAAAUUAAUCAAAUUUUAAAACUUGAGACUUUUAACAGAUUAAUCCAACCUUUGAAUAAAUAAACUAAAUGGGGGUCAGUUUUUCUCGUGUCAGCUUGUUCAAUCGACACUAUCUUUUCAACCUCUCACGAAUAAACAAAUCACUAAUGAUGUGUCCAUUUCUUCUACUUUAUAAUAAUUUUUAAUAAAAAGAUUAUUAAAGUGGUUCGGCUGUGGGAGCCACACGUGUCUGUGGCAGCGCACACCCAAGAGAAGCCAGUCUGGUUCCAAGAAGAAAGUGAACAUGAGAUGAUGAGAUGCCGUAUCAAAUGGGGCCACGUAGACAGAGAUGCUUCGAGGUGACAUGUCAGCAGAUACCUCCACCACCGAUCUUCAAAAUAAUUUGAACGGUUGGGAUUUUAUUUUCAACUUACCUGUGUCCAGGCUGUUGUUGAUUGUCGCUAUCCUCAAUUGUCCACUUCGAAUUUUUUUUUCAAUUUCUCCAACACUCUCCUAACCAAAGGAGUUAAUAAGAUUUCGAUAUUUUUUUCUUUAAAUGAUUUGAAAUAUCAAUAUUUUAUAAUUUUUUUUGGGUCCUAUUUUGUCCAUAAAAUGUUUAGCGAUCCUUUCGUUAAUUAGUUUCGUGGCUGUCUUAUCAAAUUAUUACAACGGUGAUAUUGGUUAGACACAAAAAUUAAGAAAAAAAAAUGAUUAUAAUUAUCUGCGUGGCGCUAACACACUCUUUCACCUUCAAUGCACUGAAACUGGGGAACUACAUGUAUGAUUUUCAUUCAGAAAAACCGAUGGGAACUAAUGACUUUCCAGAUUAAAAAAAAAAAUAGGAUUAUCAAACAAUGUAGCAUUGUUAUGUAAAGUUUUAUGGUUAUUUUAAGGCUAAAAUUGGUUUAGAAAUUAAUUAAAAGACUAUAUUCAUUCUAACAUAAAACGAGUUUUUAACAAGAGGAGGAGGUUCCUUUUAUAAUUUACUAAUUUAUACAACCUUUAAUAUUAAAACAAUAUUUUAUAUAUUAAGGACGAUGAUUCUUGCUCACUUAGUAAGAUAUGUAGACAUAACAUAGAUGUGGUGAUCAAUUGCAGGUUUCUAGUUUGGUUGCUUAGUUUGAGGAAAGAAUAUAUGCUAUGGUGUUUGGCUGGUCUGCUUUUUCUUUUCAAUUAAUGUAAUAUUCUUAUGCUUUGGAAUUGAUUAUCAUAACUAAAGGAAAGAAUAUAUACUAUGGAAUAUAUGCUAUGGUCUUUGGCUGGUCUACUUUUUUCUUUUCAAUUAAUGUAUUAUUCAUAUGCUAUGGAAUAUGAAUAUUACAUUAAGGGAAAGAAUAUUUUUACACAGCACACUAUAAUACUCUAAUUACCAAUUUUUUAUCUUGUAAUACAAGGUCAUAGCGAUUAAUUUAUCCGUCUUCAGCCAAAAAAAAAGUCCCAUUUCAGCACAUAUACAAGAGCCCUCAUUUUUCUUUGCUUCAGCCAUUUUAUAGCAGAAUCAUCACAGACACUUUGAGCUCUGCCGAAUCAUCAUAGACAAUUUGUGAUUGGUGGGAGCAUUACAAGAAAGGUACGACUACUUCGAACCGAUAGAUUUGUUUAUAUGAUUUAGCUAUCGUUUUAACUUUUAACAAUAAACAAGUGACAAUCAUGUACAUCAUUGGUUACAUAAAUAUUAAAAUGAGAUAAAUUUAUUCCUCUACUUGCCAGAUCCAUACAUAUUAAAAUGAGAUAAAUUUUAAGGUUUAAAAAUUUGCAAUUCAUCAAAAAUCUAGUGCGAUAUUAAGCGGUAAAAUCACUUAGGGUUAGUACAAGAGGUUUAUGAUUCCCUGACUCAUUUAUAUAGGUGGAGACUCAUUUAUAUAGGUGGAGAGGGAAUUAGGCAAUAAAGAAUUGAUACAAAUUAAUAAUUAUAUUAUAAAAAGAAAUAAAUUUCAAGAGGGAUCAUAAGUUCAUAGAAGAUUGUAUGUCAGUUAUUUGUAGUGGAAUGGAGUUUUUUUUGGAGAGGCUAUUUGGCUUGGAAUAUAUAUUAGAAUGAGAUUAUUUGAACCUACCGCAAUACUCUCUAAAAUCCACUUUUCAAAAAAAAAUUUCAGUACAAAAUUUUCCUUAAUUAAAUUACUAUUUUAGCCAAAUAUUAUGUUGAUUUAUCUCCCUAAAGUUUUUAUUUUUUUUUCACUCUUUUUUCUCUUUUCCUCUCUGUUUCCCCAAUUUUUUUUUUCCAGUCCUAUGUGGUUCUUAUAUUUUAAGGCUUCUAUUGGAGUAAGAUCUAUAUUCAAAUUGCUUAUCCAAAAAAAAAAAAUCUUUUAAAAUUUGCCUUUCCUUUACCCUCAAGUCACUAUUAGAUGUAUGUGCUCCUCAAGAAACUUUAGUAAUUGGAUUUCUAUUAAAUAUUUUAAUUUCAAAAAAUGAGAAGGUCACUAUACAAAUAUCAAAAGAUCACCAACUUAAUUAUACUAGUUAUAAUUAAGGGAAAUAAAAGACUUACUAUUUCUAUUUGAAGUUAUUAUGAUGAACAAAGAAGAGGGAGGGGGGGGGGGGGGGGGGGGGGAACAAGUCGCUGCAAUUGCAUCAAUUGAUGACAUGUUAAGAAACGUAUCAUUGAGAUAAGAUUUAAUUGAUAAAAAUAAGAUUUACUAGAAAGUAGUGAGAGAAACAACUAACAAAAAUUCAUGAUACUUAUUGAGGGUAUAUUGAGAAUAUUUGUGGCUUUUUUGAGUAAAAAAAUAAAGUUUUAAUUUGUGAUAAUGUGUUUAUUACGUAAAUGAGUUUAUUUAAUAUUCCAGUGGAUUUAAGUAGCCUUACCUUUCAUAUUAUAAUAAAUUUUUACAUUACUCUAUAUUACCCCUACUAUAGAGGACAAUGUAAUGAAAAUAUUGUUACUCUUAUACCUAUUAAAGAAACAAUAUUAUCUUGUACGUACAAGAACGUUCUAGUGCCCAAGUAAAAGUUUUAGUAAAACGUAUAAGAACUCUAAGUGUAAAGAGAAUUUCGUCAAGGUACUAUAGUAGUAUCGAAUGCUCUUUGCUAGUGUAAACUAUUUGUGCCACGUGUAGUAUUUCAAUCUUCACAAGUGGCAUUGCAUAUAGUGGCUCUUAUUUCAGUUCCUCAAAGGCACUCUAGAGGUACGUUAGCUUAUAAGCUAGUAUUUGGUCAUCAUGUGCUUCUUUUAAUGAAACACGUGGUUCAUUUUGUCCUCAUACGAGAGCAUUUUGUGUGGAAUAACCUUGUAAAAUGCUCAUUUAUCAAGGGCACAUGUUGUGUUGUUGGAACAUAGUAAAAAUAUGAUACGCUAACCCAUGUGCAUUUAUGAAAAAUCAAAUGAAAACAAAGAACUAAAAAAAAUGCAAAGGCUAAUUCAUAAUGUUUGAGUUUGAGAUGAUUAAUAUUUAAUUUUAUGGUUGCAAAGAUAAGAAUAAAAGUAGGUCUAGUGAGAAAUACCCUCAUAUUAUAAUACUAUUUAAAAUAAAUUUUGUUAUAAAAGAUUUUAUUUAAUAAGGUAUGGAGACUGUUCAAAAUAUAUUUUACGUACAAACUCAUAUGUUUGACGUGAUAGUAUGUCCCAUGCUAGGACUAGCAAUGGUCAAAUCAACCUAUUUCGAUAAGAUCCAUCAAAAUUAAUAUUUAAAAAAUUUAUCAUCUCAUUAUACAAUACACAGCUUUGCCAUCUAGUAGAGAAUGAUUGGUUGGCACACCAUAGUUUACACGAAUAUUUCUAAUAUUUGAAUCGUCUGUUAGAAAAUUUUAAUCCUAGCAAGAUCUUGUAAGUAAAAAUAUCAAAUAAAUAGUAAAUAGAAAAUAUACAGAGAAUAAAACCAAUCAUACAACACAAUAAUUUACGUGAAAAAUUCUUAUAUUGAAGAAAAACCGCAGUCGCCAAAGAUGACAAAAGAAAAAUCUACUAUUUAAAGAUCAUUACAAUUACUUUAAUAUUUUCCUCACAUAAAAAACCCCAAUAACAAAUAAUCUCUCAUUUCAGAAACUGUCUACUUGUAUAGAGCUGAUUGUUGUGUUAUUUAAAUAAGUGAAUCUAACCUUUCGUAUAUAUUGUGAUUAUUUUAUAUUGGAGAAAUAUUUAUUUCCUUAUAUAAUUUGUAUUUCUCCUUUAAUAAGUUCUUUGGCAUUACUUAUUCCUUAAACAUGAACCCCCCCCCCCCCCCCGGAACAAGAAAAUUACUAAAUAAAAAAAUUCUAGGAAAUAUCCUAAUUUAGGAUUUACAAAUCUUCAUUGAAAAAGGAGAUAUGUUUCUUAAAAAUCUCCACUUUGGUGAGUUUUUCAAUUAAGUGACAAAAUAUAAUCCGCCAUACAUCUAUGCAACCAUGUCGUCUCCCCCUUAUUUAGUCUACCAAAACCACACUAACAUAAGACUAAUGAGAAUCACUCCACCAUGGGUAAAAUCUUGUCCUCUAUCCAGCAGCCAUAAUUUUCUACAUCGAGAAUCAUCAUACUCCACAUUAUCCAGAGUACACAUGUUUUGUAACACUCCAAAAAUUACCCACGAAAACACAAGGAUAAAAUUGGAAUGAAACUUUACAUCAUUUAUUCUUAUUAAUAAAUCUCAAGAUAGACAAUUAUUCAUACUCCAACUGAAUCCGUACAUAAAACAUCUGAAAUAAAGUCUAUAAAGAAAAGUCUCUAGUCCAAAAUAAAAAGUCUAGCCAAAUUCACUCUUGAAAGCAACUCCAAAGAUCCACUAAGAAAAAUUCUCCAUUUAAGCACCCAAGCCACAUUUCUAAUCAAUCUGCAAAAUAUUGGAGACGAGGGGUGAGCCGUCAACUCGGUAAGCAAAUCUAUGCACAAUAUUUGAAAACCUUGUAAGUUUACCUUUAAAUAUUUUAUAACAACAUCUUUAUUUAGCAUAAGGGGUGGAUUCAUAUAAAAGCAUUAAAAACAUUAAAACAUUCAUAAAAACGUUAAAACAUAAACAUUAGUAGCUCAUGCCUCGUAGUCAUCAUUAUUCAUCAUUCAUCAUUUAGGGUGUUAUACCCCGCAUUUUUCCUCAUUUAGGGUACUAUACCCCACGUUGUUCAUAAUAUCCUUGUGCACCAGAUCAUCAUCAUACCAGCAAGUUGGCCUUAGCAUUUCAUAACAUCAUAACAUUAACAUCAUAUAUAUUACUACAGACUAUGAGCCAAAACAUUUUUGAAUCCACCUUACAUCUUUUCAUAAAUAGCAUUUAAAGUCUUCUAAAACAUUUAAUUCUUUUAAAAAAUUCUUUAAGAAAACAUUUAAUUUUAAAAAAACUAAUUUCUUAAGAAAAAAUCAUUUUAAAAUACAUUUAUAUAAAUUCAUUUAGAAGCGUUUUUAUUUUACAAAAUUCAUUUAAAUAUUUUAGAAAUCAGUUUUGUAAAAAUCUCUAUUUAAACAUAAUUCGUAUUUAUUAUAAAGGACAUCAUGCAUGAAUCUACUUAUCUUGAUCCAUAUCAAUCAAUUCAAUACCUUAAGAAUAACCAACGAGCUCACCCAUGUCCUAUAAUUAUCAUAAAAAUAUUCUUAUCAAUAUCAUCUCUAACCUUAAACAUAAUCCCAGUCAUCCUUAAAUCAUAGGCACUUAUACUAGCUUAAUACUUAUACAUAUUCUAAACAUAUCCUAUACUUAUGAGUAUCAUGUACAUGCUGAUUUUUAAUAACCUAUACACAUGUCGGAAAACCAUGAAAAUUUACAGAGGCACUGUGAACAUGCAUAGCAUUGCAUACAAUAUUUCACAAAAAUCAGCACAAGUCAAAAUCGAGUCAGAAUAUUGACCUUUCACCAAAGUAACAAAAUUGUCCAGCACUGAUCAAAACAGACAUUUUCCACUUAUAAAAUUCAUAAAAUUUUCUUUAGUACUCGAAAUAAUAUGUUUCUUUUUUUGAAUCACAGAAGAAACAUUCAGAAAGCACUAAUUAAAUUUCAUAAUUUUUGGACUCCUGAAACUAUUUUAAAACGUUUUAUUUCCAAGAACAUCUAACCCGUCCAGAAAAUCUCAGAGUUGAAAACAGAAUUUCAAACAUUCGUAUCUUUUAUUUUACAUGCCCAAAAAUCACGAUUCCAUUUUUUAAAGAUAGAGGAAAGAUUGAAAUUUCAUUAUAAAAUCCUAACAUGACAUGUAAUAUUCAUAAACUAGCCCAACUGUUAUACGUUUCAGCUUCUGCAAUUCUGGAAAACAGUUUUCAGAUUUGCAGCAGCCACAUGUUACGGUUUUUAAUAAUUCAACCAUAAAGAAUAAAACUACGAAAUUACACAUGCAAGCAUAGGAGACAUAGAUCUGUUGAUACAAAAAUCGCCAUAAUUUUUAAGGAUGUGUAACCUUAUAGAAAAAUUUCCAGAAUUGAGAACCGCUGCUGAAAAUCGGAAUUUUCCAGCACCAGUAACCCAACUUCGAAAACCCAUAACAAUUUGCAUAAUCAGACGAUUUCAACACAAAACCUAUCAAUGGAAAGCUUAGGAUGUCUAGUUCCAUGAUAUGUAAGCAUAUUCAUGUGAUUCUAAAUAAAGAAAACGCUUUCAAGCAAGGAAUAGAGGCUGUUCAUAUCAUCACAACAUUACAAACACGCAUAUAUUACCCAAAUCAUACUACAAGUAAUUAAAGGCAAACAAUUCAAAAAAAUAAAUCAUAUAAGUCUAAGAAAUAUUUAGUACCUUAAGGAAAACACUAAGGUGGCGUUUGUUUUUUAACUUAAUGACUUAAAGUGACUUAACUUAAUUAAUUAAGUUAAUUAAAGGUGUUUGUUUUUAUAACUUAAUGAGACUUUUUAGAUAAUUUUGACUUAAUAAAAUAAGCCAAUUUUUUUAGCUUUUUACUUAAUGGAGAAAUCUGAAUUAAGUCAAUUACUUACUAAUGUCAAAAAUAUCCUUGCUUUAUAAUUUAUUUUUCAUGUUUAUCCCAAACUCAUCCAUAGACAUUUACCCUACAUAAAAAUAUCCAUGUUUUUCUUUCUUAUAUUAUAUACGAUAAAAUUUAAAAUUUAUGGUAUUUUAUCUAUUAAAAUUCUAAAAUAAUUAUGUAUUUACUUGAAUUUAGUUUUACUUAUAAAUGUUAAAAUAUUGUGGCAUUUAAUAUAUUAUUUAUUUGACAUUCAAAUUUAAUAAGGAUACAAAUGUAAAAGUACAUAUUUUUAACUUUUUAAGUUGAAAAAAACAAACAACUUAAUACUUAUUUUCUGAGAUUCAGACGAAAAAAUAAACAUAUUAUUCAGAUUCAGACAUUCAGAUCUAUUCAGAAUUCAGACUAAUUCAGGUAUAUUCAGAUUUUAGAUAAAAAAACAAAUGCCACCUAAAAAAAGAAAGUUAUAAAACUUUCUUUUCCUUCUCCAAAGACUUAUGUUUCUUUUUUUUUUUUCUUUCUAGAGUUUGUAACGGUGUAGAAAAUAAAAGACGACUUCCUCUUAAAUACUUGUCAAUUAAUAAAUACUUUUAAAAAAAAAAUUAAUAACUUACAUAAUUUAUUUAAAGCAAUUUGAUAAAUUUUACCCACACACAAACACUCAAUAAUAAUUAUCCUACUCAAUUUUGAUAAGGGUAAAAGUAGAAAAAUAAAUAAAUAAAUAAAAGUGGGCGUUACAUGUUUGGCAUAUGUCGAUGACAUUUCUAAAAUUACCCACUCUCAUGUUUGGCUUUUUUGAGAGUCCUCAUCAAUCAACAUAAAAUUUCAUCUCAUACCUUGCAUAAAUACUAAACUAGGGGUUGUGUGCAUAUCUUGUGGACCAAUUAGCAAUAACACAUCCUCUUCACGAAACACCAAUAGAUGUCAUAAUUACUAUCUCUUUCUGUUGAUUUAGAACUACUUUCCAAAUUUGCUAUAUUCCAACAAUCUCUUUUAAGAUGUUUUGAUUACCUACACUCGUCCAAGGGUUUCUACUAGUGGAAUAGGCCUUACAUUGUUCUUUGCUUUACUUGUACAGACAUAUUGAAUCAUUACGUUAUUGAUUUGAGCUUCCCAUAAGCAAACAUUGAUUAUUCUGUCAAACUUUUUCGUUUCUAUCUUCAUAGGUUUUGAAAACCUCCUUGUUGCCAUAUUUGCUCUACAUUGCAACCUUAGCUCUAUUAUCACCUACUAAGAAAUAAUUAAUCCCACUUAAGAUUCGUAAGAAAAAAUAUCAAAUAAAUAGUAAAUAUAAAAUAGAUAGAAAAUAAAGCCAAUCAAAUAAUACAAAAUUUACAUGAAAACUUCUAUAUUGGAGAAAAACUAUAAUAGCCAAGGAUGAUAAGAGAAAAAAUUAUUAUAAUUACUCUAGUAUUUUUUUAACACCUAAAACACCAAAAGCACCUAAUCUCUUAAUAGAACUAUCUUUUCUCUCGCAGUAAAAACUAUUUACUUACAGACAAUCGAUUGUUAUAUUAUGCAAAUAAGUAAACCUAAUCUCCAUAUAUGUGUGUGUGUGUGUGUGUGUGUGUGUGUGUGUGUGUGUGUCUAUGUAGGUAUGUAUGUAUAUAUGUAUGUAUGUGUAUGUAUGUGUAUAUAUAUAUAUAUAUAUACUCACACAUAUAUAGAUACCUACAUACAUACAUACAUACAUAUAUAUAUGUACAUGUAUGUACAUACAUACAUAAAUACAUACAUACAUACAUACAUACAUACAUACAUACAUAUACACACACACAUACAUGCAUACAUACAUACAUACAUACAUACAUACAUACAUAUAUGAUUUGUAUUCCUCUUUGAAUAAGUUAAGUUCUAAAGAGAAAAUUACUUAUUUGUUAAAUAUGAAUUAUCUUCAAUAAGAAAACUGAAAAGUGUAGAAAAUUCCUAAUUUAGGACUUAAAAAUCUUCUUUGAAAAAAGAGACAUCUCCCAAUAUCCUCAAAUCCUCUUUACAAUGCCACCAAAUCUCUUUUGUGACUAGCCCGGUUGAAACUUUUAAUUAAUGGGCUGUAAUUGCCAAUAUCCAAAAUAUCCAAAUAAAACAAAUUUCCAUAGGUAUAUUGGUAGAUUGAAUGACAACUAACAACACGUGAUUUGAUUAACUUAUUUCCAAAAAAAAAAGAAAAAAAAAAGAUACAAUGGAUGAACAUAAGACUCUUGUGCCAACUCAUGGAAUUCAUCAAUAAGGCCUUGGCUGAUCCACCUCAUGACUAGUAGAGUUCAAACCCCCGCUAAAUAGUAAAAAAACUAUUUGGAUUAUUAAUUACUCUUUCUUAAGUCUAUUUAAACUUAACUUUAAGAAUUAUGAACGUCUACACUUUAAUUAAAACAAUACAAGCCCACCCGUUUGUAUUUAAAAUUUUGUUUGAAUUUAUUCACGAGCAACAAGAAUAGUAUAAAUGGAAAAAAAAACCAUCAAAUAAUAUCCCAUGACUCUGUUUCUUCAAUUUCAGGAGCAAUGGUGGAAUCAUAUUUUCCGAUUGAAAAACUUUUGGAAAAAUUAGUGAGCUCUACUUGUGAAGAACUUUUAUUGUUCUACGGUGUCAAAAAUGACUUAUAAAAAUUAAAGGAGACGUUAACCACUGUCAAAAGUGUGGUUUUGGAUGCUGAGGAAAAGCAAAUCCAUAAUCACCGGUUAAGCGAUUGGCUGGGAAAGCUUAAAGAUGCUUGUUAUGAUGCAGAAGAUGUGUUGGAUGAAUUUGAGGUGGAAAAUCUACGAAGGCAAGUCAUGAAGCAAAGAAGCAUCGGAAGAAAGUUUCGUAACUUUUUUGGAAGCUCAAAUCCGAUAGCUUUUCGUUUUAGAAUGGGCCAUCAAAUCAAGAAAAUUCGAGAGAGAUUUGAUGAGAUUGCAAAAUUGAGGGGUGAGUUUAAUCUCAUUGAACGACUUGACGAUCAUCAGCGAGUUGUGCACAAAGAAAGGGAACCCACUCACUCGUUUGUGCUUUCAUCUGAUAUUAUUGGAAGAGAUAAAGAUAGAGAGAAGAUUAUUGAACUAUUGAUGCAAACAAGUGACGGCGAAAGUGAAACUGUGUCUGUGGUUCCUAUUGUGGGACUUGGAGGUUUGGGCAAGACUGGACUUGCAAAAUUGGUGUACAAUGAUCAAAGGGUAGAAGAGCAUUUUGAGUUGAAAAUCUGGAUAUGUGUUUCUGAGGAUUUUGAUGAGAAACAACUUAUGACAAAGAUUAUCAAGUCGAUAACUGGUCAAAACCAAGGUGACUUGGAUACAGACCAAUUGCAACGAACCUUGCGAGAUCGUUUGAAUAGUAAGAGAUACUUGCUUGUUAUGGAUGAUGUAUGGAACGAAGAUCCUGAAGCAUGGCGUAAAUUAAAAAGCUUAUUGUUGGGAGGUGCUAACGGAAGCAAAAUUUUGGUAACCACACGUAGCAGGAAGGUUGCUUCAAUCAUGGGCACGAGGGGAGGUACUACUGGCUACAACUUACAAGGUCUACCAUUCGAGGAUUGCUUGUCUUUGUUUAUGAAAUGUGCAUUUAAAGAAGAGCGAGAUAAACAUCCAAACCUUGUUAAAAUCGGGGAAGAAAUUGUGAAAAAAUGUGGGGGAAUUCCUCUGGCAGUCAGAACACUAGGAAGUCUACUAUAUGACUCAACGGAUGAACAUGAUUGGGAAUAUGUGAGGGAUAAUGAGAUAUGGAAGUUAGAGCAAAAGGCAAAUGACAUUUUACCUGUUCUGAGGUUCAGUUAUGAUCAACUACCGCCUCGCCUGAAACAAUGUGUUGCUUAUUGUUGUAUCUUUCCAAAGGAUUUUGAAUUUAGUAGUUAUGCUUUGGUUCAAUUUUGGAUGGCUCAUGGUCUUCUCCAAUCGCAUAAUAAGAAUGAAGAGUUAGAAGAUAUUGGUAUGCGGUACGUGAAGGAAUUACUAUCAAGAUCUUUCUUCCAAGAUUUGACUAUUGGGAUGUUAGGAAUGGAGACGUUCUCUUUCAAAAUGCGCGACCUUAUGCAUGAUCUUGCUCAGCAAGUGGCCAAAGAUGAAUUCCUAGUAGUGAACUCUGAUUGUCAAUCUAUUCCCAAAAGUGUCCGUCAUUUGUCAUUUGCUACUGCUAAUGCAUCGAGAAAUGACUUUUCAAGCCUUUUAUCUGAUCUAGGUCGUGUGAGAACCAUUUUCUUUUCACCUGAUGAUGAGAAGACAAGCCAAUCAUUUGUUGAAUCAUGCAUCUCAAAGUCGUAGUUCCUGAGAGUGCUAGAUUUAAAUGGCUCUGCUAUUGAGGUUUGUCCCAGAAAGAUGGGUAAUUUGAAGCACAUGAGGCGUCUUGAUCUGGCGGGAAAUUCUAAAAUCAAGAAACUUCCAAAAUCCAUUUGCGAGCUACAGAGUUUACAAACACUGAAUCUUGAAGGAUGUCUGGAGCUAGAAGAGUUGCCUAAAGACAUAAGGUACCUUGUUAGUCUCAGAGUGUUAGGGCUAACCACAAAACAAAAGUCUUUGCAAGAGAGUGGAAUAAGGAGCUUGAGUUCUCUUCGUUGGUUGUCAAUUUCUAAAUGCAGGAAUUUAGAACAUUUGUUCGAGGAGAUAGAUCAAUUAUUGUCCUUCGAACAUUAUUAAUUGCUAAUUGUCCUCGUCUAAUCUCAUUGCCACCUGCUAUCAAAUAUCUCAGCUCAUUAGAGACUCUGAUGUUGUGGAAGUGUGAAAGCCUUGAUCUUAAUCUGAACGUGGAAAUGGAAGGUGAAGGAAGUCAUCAUGAUUGCAAAGACACAAGGCCUCACCUUUGGAGGGUUUUCGUUGUGGAAAUAACACUGUUAUUAGAACUGCCGCAAUGGCUUCUUCAAUGUUGUACUGAUACUUUACGGAACUUGGUUAUUGGAGAUUGUCCCAACUUCAUGGCACUGCCAGGGUCUCUAAAAGAUCUCAAAGCUCUUGAAACUCUUACCAUUCUAGGAUGUCCAAAAUUGUCAUCGUUGCCGGAGGAUAUGCAUGACGUCACAACUCUGAAAUCAUUGACCAUUGCAGGAUGUCCUGCACUGAGUGAAAGAUGCAAACCGCCAACAGGUGAAGAUUGGCCCAAGAUUGCACAUAUCCCUCAGGUUCAUCUUGAUGGCGAGAUGAUUGAAUCAAGUGAUAAUUAGGUAUGGAUUUUUUUUUUUCAAUAAGCGUACCACUCUGUUAUAUUUCCUCUUUUCAUGCAGCUUUCUAAUUUUUAAUUUCUCAUACAGCUAUACCGUUUAUAGUUUAAUGUUUUGUUAUGUUUACCAAACGAAAACUUGACUUUGAACGUUAGUUAGUUCAAUCAAAUUUGUACUAAUUUAUUUUCUUCUAAUACAUAAUUAUUUUGUCGGUACGAAAAACAAAAAUAAUAUUUUGGAAACCGCACUGUUCUCGGGGUCAGAUCUGUUUCUAAAUUCAAACAGUUCAGGAUUUUUCAAAAUGGAACUUAUAAUGAGAUUUUUUUUUUAAUUAUCUAGUUAUCUUCAUAUGGAAUUUCAAUCUUUGUUAAUACUUUAACUUGCCCCGAAACAUCUGACUAUUCUUCCUCUUGUCCUUUUUUUUUCCCAAAUAUUGCAGCUUUCUUGGGAGAGGUUCAACCAAACUGCAGGGACAGUGAAAAUAUUACUCUAAGUUACAAGUAUUAUAUAUUCGUUACGUGUGGUUAUGUAAUUUGCUGAUAAAUAAGUACAUUGAGUGAGGUAUAUGUGUGUGCCUGUGUGGUCAUUACUGAAUUUCUCAGUAAUAUAAUUUGCAUUGACUGCAGAUUUGUGAAGAACAUUGAUUCCAAACAUGUGGUGUCUGUAUUUUGUGCUUUGUGAUUGACGACUUACAUUUGCCCAGGAAGAAAUGAAAACAAAUCGGCUUCUUGAAAUUAACCAUUUAUUCUUUCGAAUGGUAACCUUUUUGUGACAUGAUUCGCAUAUUAAUCAAACGUAGUUGGCAAACUAAUUAGAUAUUGCAUCGUGAUUCGUGGCCUUGAAGUGAAAUGAGUGUUGGUGCUAAUUAGCAAUGUAACUUGUUUUGAUUAAAAUUCAAUGACUUUCUUCGUAUUAAUCAAAUUAAUUAAUAAAUUAUUUUGGUAAAAAGAAUUUGCCAAUUUUGUGGCGGUCUUGAGACCCUUGACGGUGGUGAAAUUGAUUCACGGUUUCAAAUGAAGACAUGCAGCGGAUGCGUGCGUGCCGUAUGACAUCGAUGAAAAAGUAAAGAGUUUGAUUUCUCUAUUUUACCCUUAAUUAAUCGUUGACGUCUAAUUUUACACUCCCAACAAAUUUGAAUGAAACAAUCCUAAUGUUCACUUUCUUCUUCCAUUUCAUUUUACGACUUAACAAAAUCUCGCAACGGAGAUGCUCCUGAUGAGGAGAAGGAGAAGAAGACACAGCGAGUUCGCAAGAACGUGUACAGAGGAAUAAGGCAGAGGCCAUGGGAGAAAUGGGCAGCUGAAAUUAGAGACCCUUACAAGGGCGUCCGCGUUUGGCUCGGCACAGCCGAAAAAGCUGCAAGAGUUUAUGCUGACGUCGCCAAGAAUAUCCGUGGCUCGACUUUGCUCACCGGCCGCCAGUAACUCCACCUCCAGGUAAGAAACGCUUCGUGCUAUCCCGUGAGUUGACUCACCCGAAUUUCGGAGAUUACUUUUUUAUUGGUUUUCAUUGAUUUCUUUUCCUGCUCUUAUCUACGAGGUUGUGCUUUCCCUUGGAUGCCCUUUAAUAAACAGCUUUCUUAAUAACAACUGAAGCGAAAAGUCAUUUUAUCAAAUGAUUUGGUGAAAUUUCAAGUACUUUCAUCUUGGUUUAUGCAGUUAAUAGGAAAUAGUUUGGUGUUGGGAUGUGUUAUAUGUAUCAAGUUCUUAUUGCUGGUUUGUUUCUCAUAAUCGUUAUCCAGUCAAAGCAAACGUUCGCCUCUCACAUUGACGGUUAGGCUAGAUGUUUGACCCUGAAUAAGAUGAUUGAGUUUAUUAUAGUCUUCUUAUAUUGUCGGUUCAAUAUCAUUUUGAAAUAUCACAUCAAUUCCGCGUUUGGAGUUUUAAUCCAUGCCCAGUUACACCUUUAUUUUACUUUUAAGCUGCAACAUUGAGUCACAUUCUUUUUCUGUUAUUAUUACGAUUAGCGACUGGUACAGUGGUAUUUGAACUGCAUAGCGUGUCAACUUUCACUCUAAAUGUCUUAGAAACUCUGUCUAUCACUAAUUUCCUAGAACAGGCCUCGUUGACAGUCAAAGAUUUGAGGCGUAUUUCUGGACUGAAGGCUUUUCUCUAGUCAAUUUGAUGAUAAGCGCAUUUAUUAUCUCCAGCAUUAAGCAGUAAUUUGUAACUAGUAGUAGCCAGUACCUAAGAUGUUGCAUUUGACUGUCUUCUCUUUCUGGUUCAGUUUCGACCUUUGGAGCUGUUUUAGACAUGGUAACGGAUAGGUAAUUUCUCUCUACCCCACCCCACAAUGUAUCAUCAGUCAUCAUUCGUUGUGGUUGGUGGAGAUACACAUACUAAUUUGGAUUAUUGUCCGUGCCUUCGUCUUUUGUCAAUAAUCUUUUGCAUUUCAGGAUUAGUACAGCUUGUCUACUGGUAAUACUCUCUCAAGUAUACAGGGAAGACUUUGUUACGUUUUCUUGACCCGUAAUCUAAUGUUUUAAGAUGAAGGCAUAAUUGAGCUAUCUUGCAUCUCCAUGCAGGCCUGGUUUGGUUUUUGUGUCACUACCUGUAUUAGAUAUUGGUAGUCAAUGGCUGCAGAUGUACAGGUACCUUUUCGUUUCCCUGACAUAAUCUCAUGUUACAUGAAAUUGCUCGUGGAACUGGGAGAUUUUUUAUUUUUUAUUUUUUCAUAUUUACUAAAGAAAAGUGUUACUUUCGUUGGGAAAAAUGCCUACCACUCUUUAUCUCUGUUGCAGUACAUUCUUAACAGGAAAAACUCGACAUAAAGAUGCAAAAGACAGCACAAAUUGGCUUUUCAAAGCCUAUUAUGGGAACCGGAUGUUUAUGGGUUAUUGUUGUGUGGCGUGUGAGGUAAUUGUAGCUUUCCGUGUUAUUAUACAUAUCAGGAUUUGCAAAUGUUAUCGGUACUUUUUACCUGAUCCAACUGUUUCAACCCUGCAGCUUCUUUACCUAAUCCUAUUUCUUAUUGCGUAGAAGCAGAGGGAAAGCUUGGUGGAUGUAGGCUCUCAUUUUCUUACUAUUAGAUUGUUCUGAAAAUAGAAAUAUUUCCCCUGUUUCUUGAUUUUCAAACAAUUUCUUCUUUCAGGUUGUGGCGAGUGCUGUGCAACAGGGUUCGCCUCUUUCCUUCCUAGUUGCAUUGAGUUUAUUCGCAUGGGCGCAAUCAAGCAAACGAUUAAUGUCGGACAGGUAACUUCAACCCCAUAUGAUGGUAAUGUUCGUUUAAAUAAAUUUCUUGAUGUCUACAAAUUAAGGAAACCUUUGUAUGGGUAAAGUUGACAUUUUACACUGGCAUUAUGGGUCUUGAAAUCGGUCUGUUUUAGAUUCACAUGCUGUGAUAUGCUCUAAUGUUAAAACUCAAACCUCUUCUGCAUGUUAAAUGGAUUGUCGUGGAUAUGCCUGGGAUGAUCAUUUUCUUCGUUUUCACUCAUCGUCUUUGUCAUUGUAGUUAUAAUUGAUUGUGGAGAGUGAAAACGCACUGUGAUGAAUGAAUGCAAAAGCUAUGUAAUUAAGACUACAUUUAUUAGGUUGGUGACCACAAAUAAUCGGAAGGAUAUUCACAAUAGUGUUAUUGAAGCUCUAUAUGGAAUAAGGAGACCAAACCUGUAUGUGAUAAGAGUUGUAUGAAUACCAAAUGAAUUGUCAGAGGAUAUGGUUACUUUAGAUUGCAAUUUAAGAAUGCUUGAGUUCUAAAAGCACAGAAAUGGGAUCAGUUAGGGUAAACUCCUUCGUCAGUUAGUGAACUGUCCAUCAAAAGUAAAUAUUUAUGUGAUUGAGAGAAAUUUUGGAUUUUUGAUGAAAACAAAAAUCCUGUAUGCAUUUGCUUGCCCCCAAGGAGCUGAAGAUUCUCAAAUUGUUUGUAGACGUAAUAGUUCUUCUGAUAUCAUUUGGCUUGCUAAUCUUUCUUGCUCGAAAAUUUACCCGUUGUGUGGUCUUGAUGGUGGAUGAAAUUGAUGUGUGGUUUCAGAUGAAGACGGCAGCAGAUAUGUGUGUGCCAUAUGACAUCGAGAAAAAGCAAAAGCCUUAAAGAGUUCAUCAACAUUUUCCAUUCAGAAGAAUAUGUUUUGUGGUUUUCAAUAUAAUUGAAGAAAUGAUGUUUGUACUGAUGCAGAUGCAGGAACUUUACACAUCUUAAGUUUACGAGAUAUAUAUAUAUUUUUUUGACUCUGUUAGAUAGCUGUCAGUUAGUUAACCAAUUUAUGUUACUCUUCCUUGGCUAGCCAAUUAAGAACUUAUGUUUGCUGGAUUGUAAAGCCUACAUCUGGAAGCCACAGGUGAUUUUAUUUGAAGGCAAUUUGUACUAGGCUAUAUGCGGAUUUCUAUCUUGAUUUCUGUAUGCUUGAAGGAGAUUUUUUUAUGCGUGAGAGCUUGAAAAUUAUACAUGUACAUGUUGAAACUAUUGGAUAUAUGUUAAGAAUCAAGCAUAAUUGUGUCAAGAUGAAACCAUAAUUUGGGUGCUGUUUUAUGAGUAAACUAUCUGCAAUUUGGGUGCAGUAAACCUAGGUUGAAUACCAGGACAUGGUAUAAAAGUGAAAUCACACAUUGAAUCUCGCAUAAAGAUUUUAAAGAUGCAAAUUCGAAUUGUACAUGAGAUGUUAUCUUGAUCGAAUUGCAGCGGCUUUGUUUUGGAUCCAGAAAACAAAAUUGAAGGCAUAGAGAAGUCUCUAUGGGAUGCUUAUAUUAAGGUGCAUAAUGGCCUCAUUGAGUUUUGUGCUGUUGUUCUACGUUGUUUGAGUUUUGUGCUGCGGUUCUGUGUUGCUGCUUUUGCUACCGAUUUUGGCUAUUUUCUGCCACUCUGUUAUUUGCUAUUUUUUACUACUUUCGCUGCUGAUUUUUACUGUUUUCGCUGCUUUAGCUGUUGUUUUAUCUGCUGUUUUUUUUUACUGCUUUUAUUUUUUAUUUUUUCUGUUCUCUAUCGUGUUUUACCCACUGGUUGUCGCAUGUUUAUUAAUAUUGUUUGCUGCUGUUUGAUUUGCUGUUUUUUGCUGCUAAUUUUUUUUCCUGUUUUCUGCGGUUAUUUGCUGCCGUUACUGUUUUACUCGCCAGUUGAUGAUGUUUUGUGGUUCUCCUCCUCGAAUGCCUACUUUUUCCAGUGUGCAAGCAUAUCUGUUGAGAGUGGCUGAUGAAAUCACUAAACUGUUACAGUUGAUCUCAUGCUUCUCUAGAGAAGGAAUUAGACUUAUUUUGGUGAAGGGGUUUUUUCUGGUUUUUAUAUCAGUGUGUGCAUUUCUUCAAUCACGUAGCUUUGUGGCAUUACGAUCGAUAAUGGCUGUUAAGCGAAUAAAAGCACCAGGUCGGCCAUACUAUUAUUGCCACCCCGGCAUGGAUCACCUCAGCCCUGUGGUACGAGCAGAGCACAGGGGCACACAUCGACCAGAUGUUCAUAUCAAACCGAUAUACAUUCCCCAGAAAAGCGGGAACACGAUCCCACAGAAUCACUGCAGUUGCGCUUUGCCCAGAACCGUUGAAGGACACGGGAGAUCCCACGUUUGCCACAAUGCAACAAUCAGAGCCCCAUGAGGGGCGGCCACCACCCGAAAAAAGGGGGAUAGAGGGUAAGCGGAAAACGUGGGACAAACAGCGGCUAUAAAAGAAGAGGAAAUCGAUGAAGAAAAGGACACAGAAAAAUUGAGAGGGGAAAACGCUGCCAAAUUGCAACCAGGCCAUUUUCUUACAAAUUUCGAACAAACUUCUUGAAUCCAAAUUACAUUGUUUUCCCGUAAACACCUUGUACUAACUUAGGCAUCGGAGGGUUUACGCCGGCAAAACCACCGGCGUCUCUGAUCCGUUUUUGCUGAACGCAGGUCUAGUGAGAGAAAGGAGGGUGAUUCCAGCCUUAGCGGUUCGUGCAACAGUCGAUAUCUUAAACGUUGGUGGAAGAAUCUGGUCAGUCCAAGGACGAGCAGAUUUCGGCAUCAACAUUUUGGCGCCGUCUGUGGGGAGCUGGAUAAAAAGCUACCACCGAAUCAGUAGUUACCGGAGAAACAGCGAACGAUUAGAUAUGGAUGUGCCGAGAAAGGAUGCUUUGAGGGAGGAUAACGAAACUGUGGAGACAAUCACUCUCCGGGAAAUUGCAAAUGAAGCUUGGGAGAGGAUGAUGCAAGACCGAUUGGAGCGGAUGGAGAAACAAAUGGAGACUCUCGCGACCAUAGUGUAUGAGCUGAGGGAUGAGCGGAGAAAGGAUUGUGAAACCCCCGUGGGGAGAGAUGAUGUUGGAGCAGAACCCAGCUUCCGAAGGCGUAGAGUUGAGGAAAUCCCUCCGCCGGUAGACCAACUUAAUGGGGUGCAUCCCCACAGAAGCACUAGUCGGGCUUCAGGAGAACGAGUAGAUGAAGGGAGGGACCAACCUUGCCCCGGACGGGUACCGGAGAUUGAUGGCCGAGGGGCCAGUAUUGAUGAAGGAGAGCUCAGACAGCGGUUGCAAAAUGCCGAGCAGGAACGAGUUCAGAUAGCUGCGCGUGAUCCUGACCGUGCCGUAGAAUUGGAGGAAGAAGUGCGCAGAUUAGCGCAAGUGAUAGAGGAGAUACAGGGCAAGAGAAAGUCCCCGAGCUGGAGGAUAAUGCUAGAUGAAGAAUCUCCACUAUCAGCUGUGAUCAUGGGUACCAUAAUCCCAAGAGAUUUCCGCUUUCCCGACCUCAAAUACUCCGGGCGAAGUGAUCCAUUGGUGCAUAUUGAACGUUUCAACGACGUGACGGGUGUUCAAGGGUUAACACCAGCCCAGAGAUGUAGGGUGUUACCAUUGACACUGGAAGGACGAGCCGGAGAAUGGUACCGCAAGCUGUCACGAGGAAGUAUCAGAGGGUACGAGCAGAUGUGCCAAGAGUUGGCCGAACAGUUCCGAGGAGCAGUGGCCUCAGAGGAUGAUAUGAUGGAGCUAAUGGGAAUGAAGCAGGAGGAACAAGAAUCCCUUCGGGAUUUUGUAAAACGAUACCACCGAGCCGUGCUUGAUUUGGGGGCCUUCAAUCACCCGCAGGCGUUGAGGGGAUUAAAGGAGGGAGUGAGGAUAGGCCGGCUAUGGUAUAACCUGAGAAGUCCCUUGGUACAAAAUUACUCAGCGGGGUAUGAGCAGGCAAAGAGAGACAUUGAAAUCGAAGAGAAAAAGUCGGCGAGGAUAAAAAGUGAACAACUGGAGGAGCUGAGAAGAAAGGAAAGGAGAAUCCCGAGUGGGAGCGGAUCGGGAAAGCGAGCUGGGGAGUCCUCAGCUAUGGGCGGAAUAUCAGCUUGGUCCCGCCCUUACCACGUAGCUCCGAGACCACAACAGUUCCAACACAGCCGAGCCCAACCUCCGCGCACUUCAUUCCCGGAGCGGCAACGAGAAUUCAGGCAGAUGGCUGCCCGCCCUUAUUACAACGCUCCCAGAGCAUUACAUGCAAGUGGUUCCAGGGCAGGAAGACCAGACCAGCUAGCGACUAUACCAACCCGAGAUGACAUUCAGGAUAGCCGAGCAGUUCAACUGGUAGACCAGAGCUUGGCAUAUAGACAGUACACUCCAUUGAAGAUCUCAAUGGAGGAAUUGUAUGAGAGGAUCGAAGGACGAGGCCUGCUGUACCCGCCAGCCCCUAUAACAAAACUGGCUCACCGACGGGAUAAGAACAGAUUCUGCAAGUUUUACGACACUCAUGGUCACACAAUCGACCAAUGUCGUGACCUGAAGAUUCAGGUGGAGGACUUAGUACGGAACCGGUACUUGGAUGAGUAUGUAGAGGGGGUGUCCCCGAUCAUCGAAUCAAAGUAUAUACGGGAUGAAGAAGUUCAGAGGGGUUUGGAACGUGAACAGCCGACCAUCCAUGUGAUAGCUGGGGGGCCAACAUUGGCUGGGGAUUCGAACAGAGCACGGAAGAACUAUGGGAGAUACGCCAUGACUGGCAAAGAGGUGCUUCUAAAUUUGCCAGCGGCCAAGAAGGCGAAGGUACGGCAAGUUCCCAUUAUGUGGACGGAGGAUGACGAGGAGGGUAUUUUGUAUCCUCAUGAGGAUGCACUGGUGAUUAAAGCAUUGGUGGCUAGCACAGAAUUGCGGCGAAUACUGGUGGACACGGGCAGUUCAGUUGACAUUCUAUUUAAGUCAGCCCUAAAUGAUAUGGGGAUUUUAGAUUUAAAGCUGGAGCGGAUGAAUACAUCCUUAAAAGGAUUUGGAGGGGGACGGUUAACUCCCUUGGGGAUCAUUGAACUCCCGAUUACUGUGGGGACAAAGCCGUUUGAAAGAACGGUGAUGCUGGACUUCGUCGUGGUAGAGGAAAGAAGCCCUUAUCAGAUGAUAUUGGGGAGACCGUUCAUGAGGAUAAGCCAAUGCGUUGUAUCAACGCAUUAUUUGGCGCUAAAGUACAGAGUAAAUAAAGUGGUAGGCGUUGUAAAAGGCGACCAGAGGAUGGCAAGGAGCUGUUAUGCUACAGCAGCCAAGGAGACAUUAUAGGUUACUUCUCUGGAUAAUCGAGGAGAUUCUAAAAAGGGUCGCCAAGAGCCUGUUGAAAAGCUAGAAGAGAUUGUUAUAAGCAGAAGCAACCCGAGUAGAGUGGUUAAGAUCGGAUCAGGACUGGUCGGGACAGUAAAAGACGAGCUGGUAAAGUGCCUACAGUCCCAUGCAGAUAUAUUCGCCUGGUCUCACGGGGACAUGCCAGGAAUUGAUCGCAAGGUAGCUUGCCACAAGUUGACAAUCAAGAAGGGGGCAAGGCCGGUGAGACAGAAGAGGAUAUGCUUUAACCAGGAAAGGUACGAGGCCAUAAACACCGAGGUGGAGAAGCUGUUGAAAGCAUGAUUUAUAAGGGAGGCCAAGUACCCAGAGUGGAUUUCCAAUGUAGUACUGGUGAAGAAGGCCAACGGGAAGUGGAGAAUGUGUGUGGAUUUCACAGAUCUUAAUAAGGCGUGCCCGAAAGACAGUUUUCCUCUACCAAAGAUAGACCAAUUGGUGGAUUCGACAGCGGGUCACAGUCUGCUCAGCUUCAUGGAUGCCUUUUCGGGAUACAACCAGAUACCCAUGGACGAGCAGGAUGAGGAAAACACCACCUUUAUAACUAAUAUGGGUUUGUUUUGCUACAGGGUAAUUCCUUUCGGCCUGAGAAAUGCCGGAGCUACGUAUCAAAGGAUAGCGAACAAGAUCUUCAAGCCCUUGAUUGGACAUACUAUGGAGGUAUAUGUAGACGAUAUGAUCACAAAGUCCAAAGAACCGAGGGAUCACGUGAAACACUUGGAAGAAACCUUUGAAUUGUUGAGGAAGUAUGAAAUGAGGCUAAACCCGGAGAAGUGUGCAUUUGGGGUUAGCUCGGGCAAAUUUUUAUGAUUCCUAGUAAGCCACCGAGGGAUCGAGGCCAACCCGGAAAAAAUACGGGCGGUGAUAGAAAUGAGGUCCCCACGAACAGUUAAGGAGGUGCAGAGCCUUACAGGGAAGUUGGCAGCAUUAAACCGAUUCAUCUCGCGGGCCACAGAUAAAUGUCACCCUCUCUUCCAAACCAUAAAGAAAGGGAAAAAGAUGGAGUGGACAUCAGAAUGCGAGGAAGCGUUUGAGCAGCUGAAGGAAUACCUGACCCGGGCCCCAUUACUAUCGACUCCGAGAGAGGGUGACCAGCUGCUGUUGUACUUAGCAAUCUCUAAAUGGGCUACCAGCUCGGUAUUAGUCAGGGAAGAAGAAGGAAAGCAACACCCGGUAUACUACACGAGCAAGGCCCUGGUAGAUGCAGAAACUAGAUACCCAUUGAUGGAGAAGUGGGCGCUGGCUCUAAUAACGGCAGCACGAAAACUCUGACCAUAUUUUCAGGCCUAUCAGGUUAUUGUGAUGACCGACCAGCCGCUUCGGCAAACACUUCAAAAAUCAGAUGCAUCGGGUCGAUUAGUAAAAUGGUCCGUAGAGCUAAGUGAAUUUGACCUCUCCUAUAGGCCCCGAGGAGCAAUCAAAGUCCAAGCUCUGGCAGAAUUUAUGGUUGACCGAGCUGAUACAGGGGAAGAAAUUCGGGAGGAGCAACUAACAGAGCAGGAGAAGCCAGAGGGGGUGUGGUUGGUAAUGGUUCACGGAUCAUGUAGUGAGCAAGGAUCCGGAGCAAGAGUUGUAAUACGGAGCCCAGAUGGAACCGAAAUAACGUAUGCAGUGAAGUUUGAAUUUCAGCUCACAAACAACCAAGCUGAAUAUGAGGCCUUUAUCACCGGGCUCGGACUUGCACAUGCUCUAAGAGCAGAGAGGGUAGAAAUUCGAGCAGAUUCCCAACUGGUGUGUAAUCAGCUCAAUGAUCAGUUCGAAGCAAGGGGAGAGAAGAUGUGUCUUUAUUUGAAGAAAGCGAAGCAGAUGGUUGGGCUUUUCCAAGCGGUGGAGGUAAAGCAGAUAUCUCGGAAUGAGAAUUACCGAGCAGAUAUGUUGGCUAGGAUGGCUGCCAUUGCAGAUCCAAAAUUACCUAAGUCGGUUCCACUAGAGGUGAGGAUCUCACCAAGUAUAGAGGAAGAAGCAGAGGUUAUGAGAAUAAGUACUGGAGAAUCUUGGAUGGACCUGAUUCGCGCAUAUGUCCGCGAUGGAGUUUUACCAGAGGACAAAAGGCAAGCAAGAAAAUUAAAAUGCCGAGCAGCGAGGUAUACGCUACUGGAUGGAGUGCUGUACUGCCGAGGGUUCACCUUGCCCCUUUUGAGAUGUUUGGAUGAUGAGGAGGCGGAUUAUGUGCUGAGAGAGAUUCAUGAGGGAAUAUGCGGCAAUCACUCGGGAGCAAGAACUUUAGCCUUCAAGGCACUCCGACAAGGAUACUUCUAGCCAACCAUGCACCAGGAUGCGAAAAAGAUGGCAAAGAAUUGUAAAACAUGCCAAAGCUUCUCCGAGGUUCCUGCACAACCCUCGGAAAAGCUGACGGCUAUGACAUCCUCGUGGCCUUUCGCUCAAUGGGGAAUCAACUUGAUUGGUCCGUUGCCUAAGGGACGAAGAGCGGCGACACAUGCAAUUGUGGCAAUAGACUACUUCAUCAAGUGGGUGGAAGUGGGAGUCCUCAGCCAAAUCACAGAGAGAAAGACAAUAGAUUUUAUUUGAAAAAAUAUCAUCUGCAGAUAUGGGAUCCCUUACGCCAUCAUCACAGACAAUGGGAGGCAAUUUGACAACAGCAACUUCAGGAAAUUUUGCCGAAACUUGGGGGUGGACCUGAAGUUCUGUACCCCCGCACACCCCCAGGCAAAUGGACAAGUGGAAGCAGCCAACAAGGUGAUAAAGAAGCUCCUGAAGACUAGAUUGGGAGAGAAUAAGGGAGCUUGGGUUGACGAGCUACCAGGAGUAUUGUGGGCCUAUAGGACAACUCACAAAACCGCCACAGGGGAAACCCCGUUCGCUUUAGCUUUUGGUCAUGAGGCGGUAGUCCCAGCAGAAGUGGGAGUGGGGACACAUCGGACGGAAUAUUUCACUGAGGAGCAAAAUGACGAGCAGAUCUGCUUGAGUCUGGACCUGCUGGAGGAAAAAAGGGAAGGGACAUCGCAGAGAGUGGCCCAGUGUCAACAAAGGGUCAUGCGUUAUUACAACAAGAACGUACGCGUGAGGCAGUUCCGAGCAGGAGAUUGGGUACUUAGGAAGGUGAACCAGAACACCCGGGAUCCUAACCAUGGCGCUCUUGGCCCAAAGUGGGAAGGCCCAUACCGAGUGAUAUGAGCCACUGGACCAGGAGCAUAUAAAUUAGCGUACCAAGACGGACGAGACGUGAAGAGGUCAUGGAACGCCGAACACCUGAAGAAGUAUUUCCAAUAAGCAAAAUGCUCUAUUAAAUCCUCACUCUGGCAAGUUAUUUCUGUUACAAUGCAUGAUGGCCUGUAGCACAUGCAUAUAUUUUGUAUUUUUGUAAUACAUUCAAAUUUCAAUAAAGAUGAAUUCAGAAUGAAAUCCCCUGCUAGCGAGCCCAAUAAGAAAUUUUUUACUAAGGCAAGUAAGUGCCUACUUCUGCUCGGUCAGUGAAAGACUAGCAGCUAAUUUCUUGUAAAAAUUUUACUAAGGCAAGUGAGUGCCUGCUUCUGCUUGGUCAACAGAAGACCAGUAGCUAAUUUACGAGAACUUUACUAAGGCAAGUGAGUGCCUGCUUCUGCUCGGUCAACAGAAGACCAGCAGCUAAUUUAUGAGAACUUUACUAAGGCAAGUGAGUGCCUGCUUCUGCUCGGUCAACAAAAGUCCAGCAGCUAAAGCUUCGAAAAUUCUACUAAGGCAACAAAGUGCCUGUUUCUGCUCGGUCAACGAAAGACCAACAGCUAAAGCUUCGAAAAUUCUACUAAGGCAACAAAGUGCCUACUUCUACUCGGUCAACAGAAGACCAGCAGCUAAUUUACGAGAACUUUACUAAGGCAAGUAAGUGCCUGCUUCUGCUCGGUCAACAAAAGACCAGCAGCUAAUUUACGAGAACUUUACUAAGGCAAGUGAGUGCCUGCUUCUGCUCAGUCAACGAAAGACCAGCAGCUAAAGCUUCGAAAAUUCUACUAAGGCAACAAAGUGCCUGUUUCUGCUCGGUCAACGAAAGACCAGCAGCUAAAGCUUCGAAAAUUCUACUAAGGCAACAAAGUGUCUACUUCUGCUUAGUCAACGAAAAACCAGCAGCUAAAUUUACGAAACCUUGACUAAGGCAAGUAAGUGUCUGCUCCUGCUCGGUCACUGAAGACCAGCAGGCAAUUUUGCAAAAAUUUUACUAAGACAAACGGAUGCCUAUUCCUGUUCGAUGCACUAAAGAACCAACAGGCAAAACCAGACAAGAAAGCCAAUAGAGAGCAUUCAAAAAAUUUUAUAAACGUUCAAAUGUUUACAAAGCAAAUGAAAAACUAGAGUCUUUACAAAAAUAAGACCUAAGGAUUAGGAGGAUCAACGGCCUCAGCAGGUGAAGGGUCAGCUAUCUCGGGAGGUGGAAGGUCAGUAAUAUCGGGAGGUGGAAGGUCAGCAAUAUCGGGAGGAGGAGGCACGGACCUCUGUCCUACUUCAAAAACACGCUGCCCAGCUUCUCCCUCCUGCACCCCAUCCAAAGGAGCCUCCACCUGCUCCUGCUCACCCUGCUCCUUAUCUGCUUGGUCGACCUCUGCCAUAUACCGCUGCACUCCGGCCUCCAGCUUGCUCAUGUCCAGCUCGGGAUAUUCAGUCUUAAGCACAGACAUGAUGCACUUGUAGGAGAAGGCAACCCCAAAAUCAUACUCGGCAUCCAGCCGAUCAUCCACAUCAGCGGAUUUGCCUCUCUCCUCAGUCAGCUGCUCACCCAAGGAUUUGAUUUCCCCCUCAAGGGCGGCCCUCAAAGUAUUCCUUUCAGUUUGAGUAGCUUGAAGAUCAGAUCUCAGGUCACCCAACUCGCCCUCGAGUUUGGAGGAAGUGGAUUCAGCAACCGCAACCUUCUCCUCUAGCUCCGUAAUCUCCUUGUUCAGCUCAGCCAGCUUCUCCUUGGAGCGAUCAACAGAGUCAGCUUUCUUCUUCAAUUCCUGAUUAUCAGCUUGGAGCUUCCUCUCAUGGCGCGCGGACCCAAUCUUAUAGCACGAAACCAUAGUGGCCAACCUGAAGGACACUCUCUGAACAGAAGCAGCUAGCUCGGAGAGGUUCAUACUCUCGAUGUCCUUCACCAUCUUGGGCCCCACCGAUUUCUUGAAAUCCUUCUGAUACGGGCUCAGGUAGUCUGCUUGAUCCCGAGAUGGUAGAGGAGAAGAUCGGUCCCCAGACUGGUGGCUGGCCUCAGGACUCUUGUCAGAAGUUUUCUCCCCGCCACUCUUACGGGGUGGGGGAGGGGGCAGAGCAGGGACAGGAGCCUUGGAAGGGCCGACGCUGGUUUUCUUCGGAGGAGGAGGGGGGUUGCUGGAGCUACUUGGAGCUCGACCACUCUUCCUGCUCAUUGCGCUAAGGAUCGUGUUAUCCAUUCCAACAGCUAGGUCCACUAGGCCCGAACCGACCAGGCUUGUUGGGGACAGGAGGUCUUGGCAGGUAGAAGCGUUAAACAGAGCAGUUUCCACCCAAAGCAAAGGUCGAUCUUCAAGCCCCCCGAUUAAACCCCACGAUUCUGAAAUAGCAAAAGAGGUUAAAGAACUCGAUAAGUGACAAUUUGACUAAGAACAUAGGCAAAAAUGAACGACCUGGGGUGACAAAAUGUGUGGGAAGAUAAAUGUCCCCACCAAGCGACCGAACCGCUGGACACCAAUUCCCUCCAGCAAAGAAGAAUUUGUUCUUCUAAUUUUUACAUGAAGAGGGAAACCCAAUGAUCGGUUUCCUCUUUGCAGAACUGGACAUAAAGUAGUACCAGCCCGCUUCCCUCGGGCUACUCCGCAGCUGGUACAGAUAUUUCACUUCAACAAGGGAAGGCUCCUCCGACCCGCACCUCUCUCACAACACAAACAUUGCCGAGAGAACCCUCCACCCAUUUGGGUGUAGCUGACCUGGGGCUAGGUGCAUAUCGCCCAAUAUCUUGGCAAAAUAACGUUGAAGGGGCAGCCGAGCUCCUAGUCUGAAACUCUCCAAAUGCAUCGUCACAUACCCUUUCGGAGGCCGACUAGGGACAUCACCUUUUCCAGGAACUACAAGAAGAACAUCGUUGGGGAUGUCGUAGAGGUUCCUAAGCUUAAAUAGAUCAGUGGGGGUGGUGGCACAAGCUAUGAAAUCAAUAGGGUAGGAAUCAGCCUCCACCCUAUGGCCAAGAUGCCUUUUUUUAGCAGGUCCGCUCGGUCCGAAACUACUCCCCUCACCAUCACCAGUUCCUUCAGGGAUCCCAACCCCACUAAAGCCGUGGUCCUCACCAGAGCCCGACGCAGGCCCACCUCUAUUCCCUACAAGCUCUAGUUCGGGGGAGGGAGAGACAACCAAGGGUCGUGGGUACUCAAGGGUAUCCUUACCAUGGGAAGGACCUACACUACUGGAGGGGCCUAAGAAAUCUGUGGGUAUUGACACGUUGAGGCCUGAAUCCCCUGAUUCUUCAUCACCCUCGUCAACAAUUAACUUUCUUUUCCGAUUUGACAUAUCAGAAUCCCAAAAGAAAAACAAAGAAAAGAAAGUUUAGGGUUGACAAGGUUUGACUAUCAAUUUCUACUCUUGACUCAUUUCACUCACAAGACCAGAAACUGGGGGACUGGUGUUAAGCGAAUAAAAGCACCAGGUCGGCCAUACUAUUAUUGCCACCCCGGCAUGGAUCACCUCAGCCCUGUGGUACGAGCAGAGCACAGGGGCACACACCAACUAGAUGUUCAUAUCGAACCGAUAUACAUUCCCCAGAAAAGCGGGAACACGAUCCCACAGAAUCACGGCAGUUGUGCUUUGCCCAGAACCGUUGAAGGGCACGGGAGAUCCCACGUUUGCCACAAUGCAACAAUCAGAGCCCCAUGAGGGGCGGCCACCACCCGAAAAAGGGGGGAUAGAGGGUAAGCGGAAAACGUGGGACAAACAGCGGCUAUAAAAGAAGAGGAAAUCGAUGAAGAAAAGGACACUGAAAAAUUGAGAGGGGAAAAUGCUGCCAAAUUACAACCAGACCAUUUUCUUACAAAUUUCGAACAAACUUCUUGAAUCCAAAUUACAUUGUUUUCCCGUAAACACCUUGUACUAACUUAGGCAUUGGAGGGUUUACGCCGGCAAAACCACCGGCGUCUCUUAUCCGUUUUUACUGAACGCAGGUCUAGUGAGAGAAAUGAGGGUGAUUCCAGCCUUAGCGGUUCGUGCAACAGUCGAUAUCUUAAACGUUGGUGAAAGAAUCUGGUCGGUCCAAGGACGAGCAGAUUUCGACAUCAACAAUGGCAACUCCACAAUGAUGAUAAUGAUAAUUUUGUGAUUCAGACACGUUGUUAGGAAUUCUGUAUUGGUUUUUCUCUCGCCUUCGAUGUCUACGAUGAAGCAUAUUAUGGCUUUUAAUCUGCAACUGCUGCAAAAUGGACUCACUAGCUAGCAAAUAAUAAUAUAUAGUGCUGUCAAAUUUAUAAAGAUUAUAUAUACACACACUUUCGUGUUCAAUGCACCGACACUAGAUGUAUAUUGGCAUUUAGAAAAAUUGGCAAUAACUAAUGACUUUCAAGAUUAAUUAAAUGACAAUAUUCAGUCUAUCAUAAAACAAGUUUUCAACAAGUGAAGAGGAGGUACUCUUUAUAAUUGGAUAAUUAAUGCAACCUUCAAUAUUUUCAACCAAAAAAAAAAUGAUAUUUGAUAUGUAUUCAACAUUAGGGAAAAACCUCCCAUAUCGAAGGUUUGCUUAAACGAUCAAAUAAAUCCACUUAGUUUCGUAAAUGGUUGUACAUAUCCUCUUUUUGACUAUUUAUUGGGUUAUGUUUGAGAGUUAGGACUAAGUGUGGGAUUAUACUAACUUUGAGAUUAAAUAUUAUUCUAUAUUUAGCAAUUUUCCUUAGAUUGGAUUAUGAGAGACUAAAUUCUAAGUUAGUUGUUAAAUAAAGGGGAUUGGCAAUACCAAUUUAUAAAUAGAUUUAAAUGGGAUUAGAAUAAGAGGAUAAAAUGUUCAUUUGUAAUAUUUCUUUCAUAUAUAACACCAUCUUUUAUUUAUUACUUCAAAUUUAAUUAAUGAAUUAAUUAUUUUAUUCAUGAUUUACUUGAAAUAUAUUUUUUAUUUUGUUUUUAUAUUCUAAUUAAAUUGGUACUUUAAUUUAAUAAUUUUUUACAUUAAUUGAUUGUACUAAAUUUAAUAAUCACCAAUGUGAUAUUAAAAUAUAAUUAUGAAAAUUAAUAAUACUAGUAAUUAAUUGAUUUUAUAUAUUAUUUGCUAAUUUUUUGAUAAAAUAAAAUAUAUAUCUAAAAUAUCUAAAUAAUCAAAAAGUUUUAUUAAUUUAUAUUUUUUAUUACAAUUAUGACUACCCAUAAGUAAUUUACUGUAUAUUUAAUGUUCUUAUUAAUUAUAUUUAAAUUAAUCUUAAUUAUUAUUCUUAAAUAUUCAUAAAUAGUUUUUUAUUUAAAUAUAAUUUAAUAUUGUCUAAUCCAAUGUUGUACUAAACAUAAGACAGUAGUGUAUAAUCCAACAUAACACUUAGUCCAAUUUAGUCUUGCAUGCCAAAUGUAAUCUUAUACACUUUGAUUACAACAAGCCAAUAAUUGACUUAAAUAAACUUCUAUAAAAUUAUAAGUUAAAAUUAAAAUAGUAUGAUAUAUAAAAUAAGAUAAAAUUUAUAAAUUAUUUUGAAUAUUAGAAAAAUGAUUUUAACAUUAUUAAUUUGUCAUAUUCUUUUACUACUAAUAAAAUUUGUUUGACAAAUUAAUAAUAUUAAAAUAAUUAUACCUAACAUUCACAAUAAUUUAUAAAAUUUAUAUAUUUUGUUAGCAAUUUUUUUAAUUAUGUCUAUAUUAAUAUAAAUCUUAAAGUCAAUUUUUGGAUUAAUAGAUUUUAGUAUAUAUAAUAAUAACUUAAUAUUAAAAAUAAUUUUCAUUACAUACGUUAUUCUAUUAAUUAUCUUAUUGUAAUAUUUUAUUUGUAUCAUAUGAUAUUUAUUAAUUAUUUUUUUAUCUUAUUAGUAUAUUUAUAUUUAUUUGUGUUGUUGUAAUCAAAGGGUAUAGUAACUAAAAAUGUGUUUAUGUGACUAUUUAACCUAAAGGGUCUUUGUGACCAUUUAAGUAAACCUUGGAAAUGUGUGACAAUAGUCAUUCUAAUGACUUUCAAGAUUGAAAGUGAGUCGGAUUAUCAAAUUAUGAAGCAUUAAUACGUAAUGUUUUAUGGUUAUUUUAAGGUUGAAGCUGGUUUAUUCAUUAAACAAGCUUUUAACAAGAGGAGAAAGUUCCCUUUAAAAUUUAAUAAUUAAUACAACCUUCAAUAACAAAAAAGUCAUAUAAUAAGGAUGAUGAUUCUUGUUCACUUGGAUACAUAUAUAUAACCUAUGAUGUGGUAAGCAAGGUAUCAAUUAUGUAUUUCUUGUAUCUGAAAAAAUGAAUAAUCCUUUAACGAAGGUUAUCAUCAAUUGCAGGUUUCUAGUUUGGCUGCUUAGUUUUAGGACUACGAAUUUUACAAUAUCAUAAUUAAAGGAAAGAAUAUAUGCGGUAGUCUUUGCCUGAUCUACUUUCUUCUUCUUAAUUAACCACUUAAAAGGAAAGAAUAUUGUAUACGCAGCGCACUAUAAUACUCUAAUUACCAAUUCUUUAUCUUAUAAUAUAAGUUCAUAGUGAUUAAUUUGCCCUUCUCCAGCAAAAAAACAAAUCCCAUUUCAGCACAUCUACAAGAGCCCUCAUUUCUCUUUGCUCCAGCCAAUUGAUAGCAGAAUCAUCACAGACACCUUGAGCUCCGUCAAUCAUCAUAGACAAUUGGUGACUAGUGGGAGCAUUACAAGGAAGGUACGACGAGUACAAACUGAUAGAUUUGUUUAUAUGAUUCGGCUGUAGUUUUUAUAUAUGGUUAAAUUAUGACAAUAAUCAAGAGAUAAUCAUGUACCUCAUUAGUUUCAUAAAUGUACAUACUAAUUUAUUCCCCUGCUUGCCAGAAUCAAACAUGUAGAAUAAGAUAAAUUUUAAGAUUUAAACUUUUCAAUUCAUUAAAAAUCUAGUGGGAUAUUAAUCGGUAAAACCACUUCGGGGUAGUACAAGAGGUUUGUGGUGCUAACCAAUUUAUGUGAGUGGAGAAAGAAUUAGGCUUUUUUAAUAAAAAUUAAUAAUCAUAAUAAUAAAAGGACAUAAAUUUCAAGAUUUAAAACUUUAGACUUCAUUAGAAGUAAGAGGGGGAUCGUAAAAAAUUUGAAUGUAACUUAUCGAUCGUGGAAUGGAUUUUUUUUUUUUUUUUGUUGCAGCUAUUUACACACCUUUGAACACAUGUUAGGGUGAGGGUAUUUCAAUAUUUUACCCACAUCUCAAUAAAAUAUUUUGAGGUGAUGCUACCACUAAACAACUCAUUAAACUCAUUUACUUAAUACACACACUUCUAAAAUUUAAAAUGCACAAUUUUAUUUUACAAACCCAUUAAUACCUAAAAUACCCUUAUUAAGUUAAAUUAUCACAAUUUCUCUUAUCAUUUUCUUUUCCCAUCAUUUCUCCGUUUCUUCACUCUUUUCUUCUUCAUUUUUGGAGCUUUACCCAUAGCUUUUUUAUUCCAAAUUCUCAAACUUUUUAUUUUAUUUUUUAAUAGCUAUUUUUCCCGUUGAUAUUUCAUGCGUUUAUAUGAUUCAGCUAUAGUUUUAACUUUUAUAUAUGGUCAAGUUAUAACAGUAAUCAAGAGAUAAUCAUGUUCAUCAUAAGUUGCAUAAAUGUACAUACUAAUUUAUUCCUCUACUUGCCAGAACCAUACAUAUAAAAUGAGAUACAUUUUAAGGUUUAAUCUUAGGGUUGGCAAUAAGCUCCGGAUCCAGCCCAGAUCCGCAACAAUCCGGAAGAUCCGGAUCUGGAAAAAUACGGAUCCGCAUGCUAAAAAAUGCGAAUCCAGAUCUUAAAAAUCACAAUCCGUGCGGAUCCGGAUGUAAGUGCAUCCGGAAAACCGAAUAUCUGGAUCCACAAUUUUUUAUAAUUAAAUUAUUUAUUUAAUUAAAUUUCAAUUGAAAAAUAGAUAAAUUAAAUUAUUUAUUUAAAUGUAUAAGCAUAAUUAACUCUCUAGUCUUCAUUAACUUUAAAAAAUAUGUUAAUAAACUAAUAAUAAUUAUAAUAAUUAGAGAAUAUUGUAAUAAAUCGGUUUACCUUACAUUUUUUUUAUGCUUGAUUUAUAUUGUGAAAUUAUUAUUUGUGAAUUUAUGGUGUUGUUGUAUGUUAUUUAUGUUGAAUUGAAGUUAAAUUGUUGAUUCUUAAAUUAUAAUUGAAUUUUAUUUAAUAUUAUUAUGUAAAUUAUUAAAUAAAAUUAUAUUUAAAUUUAUUAUUAUGCAUAUCCGAAUAUCCGGAAUAUCCGUCCGCAAUUUGUGCGGAUGUUAUCCGCAUCCGGAUUCUUAUUUUUUUUUGCGGAUCCGGAUGUCAAAAGUUUAAUCCGGAUCCAGAUGCACUAAGAUCCGGAUCCAGAUCCAAAUUUUGCCAUCCCUAGUUUAAAACUUUGCAAUUCGUUAAAAAUCUUGCGGGAUAUUAACCGAUAAAACCACUUAGGGAUAGUACAAGAGGUUUAUGAUUUCUCAACCCAUUUAUGUGGGUGGAGAGAGAAUCAAGUGUUUUUUUAAAUAAAGAAUAAUUAAUAAUUAAUAAUCAAAUUAAUAAAAAUAAAUAAAUUGUAAGGGGGAUCGUAAAAGUUUUGUAUGUAACAUAUCGGUAGUGGAAAGAAUUUUUUUUGGAGAGGCUAUUUGGCUUGGAACAUAUAUUACAAUACUCUCUUCAUCCACUUCUCAAUAAAAUAUUUUAUUAAAAAAAUUUCCUUAAUUGAAUUAUUGUUUUAGCCAUAUAUUAUGUUCGUUUAUCUCCCUAAAGUUUUUAUUCUUUCACCCUUUUUUCUCUUUUCCUCUGUGUCUCCCCAAUUUUUUUCCAGUCCUAUGGGGUUCUUAUUAAAGCUUCUAUUGAGUAAAAUCUAUAUUAAAAUUUCUUAUAAAAAAAAAAGAAAAAAAGAAUUCGUCUCUUUUAAAAAUUGUCUUUCCUUCCUUUACCCUUGAGUUACUAUUAGAUGUAUAAGCUCAAGAUGAGACUAGUAAUUGGAUUUCCAUUAAAAGUUUUAAUUUCAAAAAAUCAAAAGAUCACCAUACAAAUAUCAAAAGGUCACUAACUUAAUUAUACUGGUAAUAAUUAAGAUAAAUAAAAGACCUACUAUUUCUGUUUGAUGUUAUUAUGAUAAAGAAAGAAAAAAAAGAAAUAGCAAGUUGCUGUAGUUGCAACAAUUGAGGAUAUGCUAAUAAAAGUGUUACAGAGAUAGAUUUAAUUGAUAAAAAUAAGAUUUUAAUAAAAAGUUUUGAGAGAAACAAUUAAUAAAAACUAAUGAUAUUUAUUAAGGGUAUAUUAUGAAUAUUUGUGGCCUUUUUUGAGAUAAUUAAAUAAAUUUUAAGUUGUGAUAAUGUGUUUAUUACAUAAGUGGAUUUAUUCAGUAUUCUAGUGGAUUUAAGUAGUCUCAACUCUCAUAUUAUAAUAAAUUUUUAUAUUGCUACAAUUGCCCUAAUAUAGUGGACAGUAUUAUAUUGUACACAUAAGAAUACUCUAGCACCCAAUUAAAAUUUUUAGUAAAACAUAUAAGAACUCUAAAUGUAAAGAGAAUUCCGUCAAGGUAUUGCAGUAGUAUUUAAUGCUCUUGGCUAGUGUAAACUAUUGUGCCACAUGUAGUAUUUCGAUCCUGACAAGUGCAUUACAAAUAAUGACUCUUAUUUCAGGUCUUUUAGGUACUUUAGAGAUAUAUUAGCUAUGGAGCUAGUAUUAGGUCAUCACGUGCUUCUUUUAAUGAAAGAUGUGGUUCAUUUUUCCCUAUACCAAAGCAUUUUCUGUGGAAUAAUCGUGUCAAAUGCUCAUUUAUCAAGGGCACGUGUGGUGUUGUCAGUAUGAUAUGCUAACCCACGUGCACUUAUGGAAAAUCAAAUGAGAAAAAUGAAUUAAAAAAUACAAAAGCUAAUUAAUAAUGUUCGAGUUUGAGAUGAAGAAUAUUUAAUUUUAUGGAUAUAAAGAUAAGAAAUAUUUAAUGAGAACUAUCCUAAUAUUAAAAUACUAUUUCAAAUAAAUUUUAUUUGACGUAAUAGUAUGUCUCAUAAUAAGACUCAUCGAUGUCAGAAUCGUACAUGUAAAAUGAGAUAAAUUUUAAGGUUUAAAACUUUGCAAUUCAUUAAAAAAUCUAGUGCGAUUUUAAUUGGUAAAACCUCUUAGGGGUAGUACAAGAGGUUUAUAAUUCCCUAAUCCAUUUAUGUGGGUGGAGAGGGAAUUAAGAGUUUUUUAAUAAAGAAUUAAUAAAAAUUAAUAAUCAUGUUAAUAACUUAUUGGUAGUAGAAUGGAAUUUUAUUUGGAGAGGCAAUUUGGCUCAGAACAUAUAUUAAAAUGAGGAUAUUUGAACCCACCACAAUACUCUCUACAUCCACUUUUCAAUAAAAAAUUUAUUACAAAAUUUUCCUUAAUUAAAUUAUUAUUUUAGCCAAAUAUUACGUUCAUUUAUGUCCCUAAAGUUUUUAAUUUUUAACCCUUUUUUCUCUUUUCCUGUUUGUCUCCCCAAUUUGUUUCUAGUCCUAUGUGGUUCUUAUAUUUUAAAGCUUCUAGGAGUAAAAUCUCUACUAAAAUUGAUUAUCAAAAAAAAAAAUCUCUUUUAAAAUCUGCCUUUUCUUUAUCCCCAAGUUACUAUUAGAUGUAUAUGUUCACCGUGAAAGUUUAGAUCUCAAACCUUUUCUGUAUCUUAAAUGGAUUGUCGUGGAUAUGCCUAAGAUGAGCAUUUUCUUCCUCUUCACUUCAUCAUCUUUGAUAUAGUAAUUAUAAUUGAUUGAGGAGUGUUAAAACGCAUUGUGAUGAAUGAAUGCACAAGCUAUGUGAUUAAGACUGCAUUUAUCAGCUGGUGGGCGACCGCAAAUAUUAGGCAGGUUAUUCACAAUAGUGCUACUGAAGCUUUAUAUGGAAUAAGGAGACCAAGCCUCUAUAUGAUAAGAGUUGUAUGAAUACCAAAUGAAUUGUAAGAGGAUAUGGUUAAUUUAGAUUGCAAUUUAAGAAAGCUUGAAUUCUAAGAGCACAGAAAUGGGAUCAGUCUUGCUCAAGUGUAAACUCCGUCAGUUAGGAAGCUGUCCAUCAAAUGUAAAUAUUUAUGUGAUUGAGAGAAAUUUUGGACUUUUGUUGAAAACAAAAAUGCUGUUUGCAUUUGCUUGCCCCCAAGGAUAUAUGUUGUGCAAGCAUAUAUGUUGAGACCGGCAGAUGAAAUCACUAAACUUUUACAGUUGAUCUGAGGCUCCUCUAAAGAAGGAUUUGGAUUUUGGAAUUAAUUUGGGGAAAGGGUUUUUUUUGGGUAUAUGAGUGUAAGCGUUCCUUCAAUCACGUAGCUUUGUGCCAUUAACAUAAUGGCAAUUCCACAAUGGGGAUAAUGAUAAUUUUGUGAUUGGGAACUCUUUACUGGUUUUUCUUUCGCCAUCUGUGUCUAUGAUUAAGGUUGUUUAAAGUGUUAUGGCUUUUAAUCUAUAACCAUUGUGAAAUGGACUCACUAGCUGGCAAAUAAUAAAACAUAGUGCUGUCAAAUUUUGUAAGGAUUAUGCAUACACACUCUUUCGUCUUCAAUGCCCUAAAACUGGGUAACUACAUGUAUGAUUUUCAUUCAGAAAAACUGGCAAGAACUAAUGACUUUGCAGAUUAAAAAAUAAGUAGGAUUAUCAGAUUAUGUAGCAUUGUUAUGUAAUGUCUUGUGGUUUUUUUAAGGUUAAAGUUGGUUUGGAAAUUAAUUAAAAGACGAUAUUCAUUCUAUCAUGACGAGUUUUUAACAAGAGGAGAAGGUUCCUUUUAUAAUUUACUAAUUUAUACAGCCUUUAAUAUUAAAACAAAAUUUUAUAUAUUAAGGACGAUGAUUCUUGCUCACUUAGUAAGAUAUGUACAUAACAUAGGUUUGUUAAGCAAGGAAUCAAUUAUGUAUUUCUUGUAUCUGAAAAAAUGAAUCAUCCUUUAACGAGGGUUAUCAUCAAUUGCAGGUUUCUAGUUUGGUUGCUUGGUUUGAGGACUAUGAAUAUUACAUUGUCAUAACUAAAGGAAAGAAUAUAUGCCAUGGCCUUUGGCUGGUCUACUUUUUUCUUUUCAAUUAACCUCUUGCGGGGAAAGAAUAUUGUAUAACACAGCACACUAUAAUUACCAAUUCUUUAUCUUAUAAUAUAAGUUCAUAGUGAUUAAUUUGUCCGUCUUCAGCCAAAAAAAAAAAAAGUCCCAUUUCAGCACAAAUACAAAAGCUCUCAUUUUUCUUUGCUCCGGCCAUUUUAUAGCGGUGUCAUCACAGACACCUCAAGCUCUGCCGAAUCAUCAUAGACAAUUCGUGAUUGGUGGGAGCAAAUUGAAAGUGUUUAUAAAUAUAACUUAACAAUUCACUAGAUAGCUUGGAUUCAAAAUUAGAAAUAUCAAUCAAUAAAAUAGGAAGAAAAAAUAUUGGAGGUAAUUGGAAUUAGUCUCAAAUUUCAAUUAAAAAAAGCGUGCAGUUUCAUAUAUUAAUUCACUGAACCAUUUUUUUAUUUUUAUUUUUUUUUGCUGGAAAAACGAGUUUCCCAGAUCUGUCCAUUGUCAAAAUCAACUGAUGAACCACCACACUUCGUCGCAUCGCCAUUCACCAACAGCCCCAACUUUUGAGUCUCGUACCCUUGUUAAACAAAUACACAAUAAAACAGUGAGAUAACAAAUUAUAUGUUAGCUAAUUUAAACAAUAGUGUAAACUAGGAAUCGGAAACACUAAAUGAAGAACAGAAGAGGCAGAAACUGAAUCGAAAUAAAAAAAAUUGAAACCCGAGGCCUGCACAAACACAGUCUCCUUAAAACAGAUUUACCACCUUUACGGAGUGCUUAAGGUUUGCUAGGUAUAUGUUUCCCAGGAUGCAACGGGUACGAUUUUCCAGUCAAGCACAGGCUGGAAAUUCCGACGAACCACAACCAGCGAACUCGAUCAAAGAAAAACGAAGAAGGAUGAAGGGAAAACAAGUGUGGUUUGUGCUCGUUUUUGCAAGUAGAAAAAACAGAAGUGAAGGUGCCUUUUUAUACUCAAGGGAGGAUGUAACAGCUUUUGUAUUGAAUUUUCGAAUUCAAUACAUUUUAAUUAUUUUGUUAUAACAGCCAAAUCAAUUUAAUAAAUUGAUUUCAAAAUUGAAUUCAAACAAAACGUGAAUAACAGCUAAAUAAUUGUAAAAGCUGUUACCAAUGCUUUGAAUUCACAUGAACUGUUACAAUAAAAAAUUCAAAAGGAAUUAAAAACGUGCCUAGCUUGCAUGGAUGAUUUUGGGCUGACAUUCGUGUACGCAGGACGCGCACGAGUUCAACUAAAUCGGGCUUGGAUUCGCACCCCCCCCUGCGCACGCGCGUGUGGAGAGAGCCUCUAUCCUCAUAAUUCUUACUCAUGCAUGGUUAAGUGUUUAUAUUUAAACACUAAUUCCUAGGCUUCUUUUUCCCAUGUGGGAUAAGACUCAUUUCCUUUUAAAUUUCCAACUUCAAGGGUGAACUUUGAGAGACAAUUUCUCAUUCACCCAAGCACCAUUUUGAGAAAAUAAAAUUAUACUAUUGAAGUAUUAACGGAGUAGAAUCCGAACCUCACAAUAUUUUCCACUUUCGUUAAGUGGGACCCACUCAAAAUGUGCUCUCAAAAUAGCAUGUUAUGCUAUUUUUCCAACAACCCUUACUUCAAUAAUCCAGACCCAAGAUGUCAUCAAUACCCAAACCCUCAAUUUCAUCUUCUUCUUCUUUUUUUAAUUGACCCAAGAUCUGCCAAAUAUUAUGUUAAUUAAUCUCCCUAAGGCUUUUAUUUUUUUCACCCUUUUUUCUCUUUUCCUCUCCGUCUCCCCAAUUUUUUUUCUAGUCCUGUGUGGUUCUUAUACUUUAAGGUUUCUAUUGGAGUAAAAUCUCUAUUCAAAUUGCUUAUCCAAUUUUUUUUUUCUUUUAAAAUUUGCCUUUCCUUUACCCUCGAGUCACUAUUAGAUGCAUAUGCUUGUGAUGAAACUUUAGUAAUUGGAUUUCUAUUAAAUAUUUUAAUUUAAAAAAAUGAGAAGAUCACUAUAAAAAUAUCAAAAGAUCACCAACUUAAUUAUAGCAAUAAUCAAGGGAAUUAAAAGACUUACUAUUUCUGUUUGAACUUAUUAUUAUAAAGAAAGAAAGGGAAAAAAAAAGUCGCUGCAACUACAUCAAUUGAGGACAUGCUAUGAAAAGUAUCAUAGAAAGUAGUGAGAGAAACAACUAAUGAAAAUUAAUGAUACUUAUUGAGGGUAUAUUGGGAAUGUUUGUGGGUUUUUUGAAUGAAAAAAUAAAAUUUUAAGUUGUGAUAAUGUGUUUAUUAUAUAAAUGGGUUUAUUCAGCAUUACAAUGGGUUUAAAUGGCUUUAUCCUUCAUAUUAUAAUAAAUUUUUAUAUUACUAUAAUAGCCGUAAUAUAGAGGACAAUGUAAUGAAAAUAUUGUUACUGUUAUACUUAUUAAAGAAACAAUAUUAUCUUGUACAGACAAGAACACUCCAGUGCUCAAGUGUAAAAGUUUUAGUAAAACGUAUAAGAACUCUUAAGUGUAAACAAAAUUUCAUCAAGGUGCUGUAAUAUAAUCUAAUGCUUUUUGGUAGUGUAAACUAUGUGUGCCACGUGUAGUAUUUCAAUCUUCACAAGUGGCAUUGUAAAUAAUGGCUCUUAUUUCAGUUCCUCGUAGGCACUCUAGUAUUUGGUCAUCACGUGCUUCUUUUAAUGAAACAUCUGGUUCAUUUUAUCCUUAUAUGAGAGCAUUUUGUGCGGAAUAACCAUGUCAAAUGCUCAUUUAUCAAGGACACGUGUUGUGUUCUCAGAACAUAGUAAAAAUAUGAUACGCUAACCCAUGUACAUUUAUGGAAAAUCAAAUGAAAACAAAGAACUAAAAAAAAGUACAACGGCUAAUUAAUAAUGUUUGAGUUUGAGAUGAUUAAUAUUUAAUUUUAUGGUUGUAAAGAUAAGAAUAAAAGUACGGCUAGUGAGGACUAUCCUCAUAUUAUAACACUAUUUAAAAUAAAUUUUGUUAUAAAAAAUUUUAUUCAAUUAGGUAUAUAUUUUAGGUACAAACUCAGCUAUUUGACAUAAUAGUAUGUCUCAUAAUAGGACUAACAUUUGGUCAAAUCAACCUAUUUCAAUAAGAUCCAUCGAAAUUAAUAUUUAAAAGAUUUAUCAUCUCAUUAUACAAUACACAACUUUGCCAUCUAGUAGAGAAUGAUUGGUUGGCACACCAUAGUUUACAUAAAUAUUUCUAAUAUUUGAAUCAUUUGUUAGGAAAUUUUAAUCCUACCAAUAUCUUGUAAGUAAACAUAUCAAAUAAAUAGUAAAUAGAUAAUAUAUAGAGAAUAAAACCAAUCAUACAACACAAUAAUUUACCCGAGAAAAAUUCCUACACUAGAGAAAAACCACGGCCGCCAAAGAUGACGAAAGAAAAUCCACUAUGUAAAGAUCAUUACAAUCACUCUAGUAUUUUCUUCACUUACAAAACCCCAAUAACAAAUAAUCUCUCAUUCUAGAAACUGUCUACUUGUAUAGAACUAAUUAUUGCAAACAAGUGAAUCUAACCUUCUUAUAUAUUGUGAUUGUUUCAUAUAAGAGAAAUAUUUAUUUCCUUAUAUAAUUUGUAUUCCUCCUUUAAUAAAUUCUUUGGAAUUACUUAUUCCUUAAACAUGAACCCCCCAAACAAAAAAAUUACUAGGAAAUAUUUUAAUUUAGGAUUUACAAAUCCUCAUUGAAAAAGGAGAUAUGUUACUUCAAAAUCUCCACUUUGGCGAGUUUUUUAAUUAAACGACAAAAUAUGAUCCGCCAUACAUCUAUGCAACCAUGUCGUCUCCACCUUUUUUAGUAUACUAAAACCACACUGACAUUGGACUAAUGAGAAUCACUCCACCAUGAGUAAAAUCUUGUCCUCUAUCCAGCAACCAUAAUUUUCUACAUCGAGAAUCAUCAUACUUCACAUUAUCCAGAGUACACAUGUUUGGCAUAUGUCGAUCACAUUUCCGAAGUUACCCACUCUCAUGUUUGGCUUCUUUGAGAGUCCUCAACGAUCAAGAUAAAAAGUCCACCACAUACCUUGCAUAAAUACUAAACUACAUGUUGUGUGCACAUCUUGUGGACCCAUUAGCAAUAACACAUCCUCUUCCACGACACACCAAUAGAUGAGAUAAUUAGUAUCUCCUUCUAUUAAUUUACAGCUACUUUCCAAAUUUGCUAUAUUCUAACAAUCUCUUUUAAGAUGUUUUGAUUACCUACACUCCUCCAGGGGUUUCUACUAGUGGAAUAGGCCUGACAUUGCUCUUUGCUUUACUUGUAUAGACAGAUUGAAUCAGUAUGUUAUUGACUUGAGCUUCCCAAAAGCCAAAAUUAAUUAUUCCGUCAAAUUUUUCUAUUUCUAUCUUCAUAAGUUUUGAAAACCUCCUUGCUGACGUAUUUGCUCUACAUUGCAGCCUUAGCUCUAUUAUCACCUGCUAAGAAAUAAUUAAUCUCACCUAAGAUUUGCAAGAAAAAAUAUGAAAUAAAUAGUAAAUAGAAAAUAGGUGGAGAAUAAAGCUAAUAAAAUAAUACAAAAAUUUACAUGAAAAAUUUCUAUAUUGGAGAAAAAUUAUAAUAGCUAAGGACGAUAAGAGAAAAAUUUAUUAUGUAAAAAUUAUUAUAAUUACUCUAGGGUUUUUCUCACACCUAAAACACCAAAAGCACCUAAUUUUAAUAGAACUACUUUUCUCUCACACUGAAAACUAUUUACUUAUAGAUAACUGAUUGUUGAAUUAUGCAGAGAAGUAAACUCAAUCUCUAUAUAUAUAUGUAGUGAUUAUUUCAUAUAGAAGUUGCAUUCUUUUCCUUAUAUGAUUUGUAUUCCUCCUUGAAUAAGUUAAGUUCUAAAGAGAAAAUUACUUAUUUCUUAAAUAUGAAUUAUCUUCAAUAAGAAAACUGAAAAGUGUAGAAAAUUCCUAAUUUAAGACUUAAAAAUCUUAUUUGAAAAAAGAGACAUCUCCCAAUAUCUUCAAAUCCUCCUUACAAUGCCACCAAUCUCUUUUGUGACUAGCCCAGUUGAAACUUUUAAUGGAUGGGCUGUAAUUGCGAAUAUCCAAAUAAAACAAAUUUCCAUAGGUAUAUUGGUAGAUUGAAUGACAACUAACAACACAUGAUUUGAUUAACUUACUUCCAAAAAAAAAGAAAAAAAAGAUACAAUGGAUGAACAUUAGACUCUUGUGCCAACUCAUGGAAUUCAUCAAUAAGGCCUUGGCUGAUCCACCUCAUGACUAGUAGAGUUCAAACCCCCGCUAAAUAGUAAAAAAAUAUUUGGAUUAUUAAUUACUCUUUCUUAAGUCUAUUUAAACUUAACUUUGAGAAUUAUGAACGUCUACACUAUAAUUAAAACAAUACAAGCCCACCCGUUUGUAUUUAAAAUUUUGUUUGAAUUUAUUCACGAGCAACAAGAAUAGUAUAAAUGGAAAAAAAAACCAUCAAAUAAUAUCCCAUGACUCUGUUUCUUCAAUUUCAGGAACAAUGGUGGAAUCAUAUUUUCCGAUUGAAAAACUUUUGGAAAAAUUAGGGAGCUUUGCUUAUGAAGAACUUUUAUUGUUCUGCGGUGUCAAAAAUGACUUACAAAAGUUAAAGGAGACGUUAACCACUGUCAAAAGUGUGGUUUUGGAUGCUGAGGAAAAGCAAAUCCAUAAUCACCGGUUAAGCGAUUGGCUGGGAAAACUUAAGGAUGCUUGUUAUGAUGCAGAAGAUGUGUUGGAUGAAUUUGAGGUGGAAGAUCUACGAAGGCAAGUCAUGAAGCAAAGAAGCAUCGGAAGAAAGUUUCGUAACUUUUUUGGAUGCUCAAAUCCGAUAGCUUUUCGUUUUAGAAUGGGUCAUCAAAUCAAGAAAAUUCGAGAGAGGUUUGAUGAGAUUGCAAAAUUGAGGGGUGAGUUUAAUCUCAUUGAACGACUUGACGAUCAUCGGCGAGUUGUGCACAAAGAAAGGGAAUCCACUCACUCCUUUGUGCUUUCAUCAGAUAUUAUUGGAAGAGAUAAAGAUAGAGAAAAGAUUAUUGAACUAUUGAUGCAAGCAAGUUCUGGCGAAAGUGAAACUCUGUCUGUUAUUCCUAUUGUGGGAAUUGGAGGUCUGGGCAAAACUGCUCUUGCACAGUUGGUGUUCAAUGACCAAAGGGUAGAAGAGCAUUUUGAGUUGAAAAUCUGGAUGCGUGUUUUUGAGGAUUUUGGUGGGAGACAAAUUAUGAGAGAGAUUAUGGAGUCGAUCAUUGUACAAAUUAUGAGAAAGUGUGUGUUCCUAGGUGACUUGAAUACACAACAAUUGCAACGAAUCUUGCGAGAUCAUUUGAAUAGUAAGAGAUGUUGGGAAAAUAUGCUCUUUAAAAGCAUAUGUGUUUAUUUGAAUGUAAUAAACUAUUUUUCUGAUCAAUAAAAUAAAUGAGGUAUUUUAUUCAAAUAUCUUGAUUGCAUUAAUAUUUGUAUUAAAGUGGGCACGAGGGGAGGUACUAUUGGCUACAACUUACAAGGUCUACCAUUCGAGGAUUGCUUGUCUUUGUUUAUGAAAUGUGCAUUUAAAGAAGAGCGAGAUAAACAUCCAAACCUCAUAAAAAUCGGGGAAGAAAUUGUGAAGAAAUGUGGGGGAAUUCCUCUGGCAGUCAGAGCACUAGGAAGUCUAUUAUGUGGCAAAACAGAUAAACGUAAUUGGGAAUAUGUGAGGGAUAUUGAGAUAUGGCAGUUAGAGCAAAUGGACACUGGCAUUUUACGUGCUCUGAGGUUAAGCUACGAUCAAUUGCCACCUCACCUGAAACAAUGUGUUGCUUAUUGUUCAAUCUUUCCGAAGGGUUAUCAAUUUUAUGGUGAUUCUUUGGUUCAAUUUUGGAUGGCUCAUGGUCUUCUCCAAUCGCAUAAUAAGAAAGAAGAGUUAGAUGAUAUUGGUAUGCGAUACUUGAAGGAAUUACUAUCAAGAUUUUUCUUCCAAGAUUUGAGUUUUGGGAUGUUAGGAAUGGAGACGUUCUCUUUCAAAAUGCACGACCUUAUGCAUGAUCUUUCCCUGCUAGUGGCUAAAGAUGAAUUCCUAGUAGUGAACUCUGAUUGUCAAUUUAUUCCCAAAAAAGUCCGCCAUUUGUCAUUUGUUGCUGCUAAUGCGUCAAGAAAUGACUUUUCAAGCCUUUUAUCUGAUCUAGGUCGUGUUAGAACCAUUUUCUUUUCAACUGAUGAUGAUGAGAAGACAAGCCAAUCAUUUAUUGAAUCAUGCAUCUCAAAGUCGCAGUUCCUAAGAGUGCUAGAUUUAAGUGGCUCUGCUAUUGAGGUUUGUCCAAGAGAGAUGGGUAAUUUGAAGCACACGAGAUAUCUUGAUCUGUCGAAAAAUUAUAAAAUCAAGAAACUUCCAAAAUCCAUUUGCGAGCUACAGAGUUUACAAACACUGAAUCUUGCUGGAUGUUUGGAGCUAGAAGAGUUGCCUAAAGACAUAAGGUACCUUGUCAAUCUCAGAUUGUUAGCGCUAACCACAAAACAGAAGUCUUUGCAAGAGAGUGGAAUAAGGAGCUUGGGUUCUCUUCGUUGUUUGUCAAUUUCUAGUUGCUGGAAUUUAGAACAUUUGUUCGAGGAGAUAGAUCAAUUAAGUGUCCUUCGAACAUUAUCAAUUGAAAGUUGUCCUCGUCUAAUCUCAUUGCCACCUGCUAUCAAAUAUCUUAGCUCAUUAGAGAAUCUGUAUUUGGCUAGCUGUGAAAGCCUUGAUCUUAAUUUGAACAUGGAAAUGGAAGGUGAAGGAAGUCAUCAUGAUCGCAAAAACACAAGGCCUCACAUUCGGCGGGUUUUCAUCAAGGAAAUAACACAGUUAUUAGAACUGCCACAAUGGCUUCUCCAAGGUUCUACUGAUACUUUACAGAACUUGUUAAUUCUUGGUUGUCCCAACUUCAUGGCACUACUAGAGUCACUGAGAAAUUUCGAAGCACUUGAGGUUCUUGUCAUCGGGAAUUGUCCAAAAUUGUCAUCGCUGCCAGAGGAUAUGCAUCACCUCACUACUCUGAAAUCAUUGGCCAUUGCAGGAUGUCCUGCACUGAGUGAACGAUGCAAACCGCCAACAGGUGAAGAUUGGCCCAAGAUUGCACAUAUCCCUGAGAUUUUACUUGAAGGCGAGAUGAUUAAAUCAAGUGAUUAUUAGGUAUGGAUUUUUUUUUCAAUAAGCAUACCACUCUGUUAUAUUUCCUCUUUUCAUGCAGCUUUCUAAUUUUUAAUUUCUCAUACGGCUACACCGUUUAUAGUUUAAUGUUUUGUUAUGUUUACCAAACGAAAACUUGACUUUGAACGUUAGUUAGUUCAAUCAAAUUUGUACUAAUUUAUUUUCUUCUAAUACAUAACUAGUUUGUCAGUACAAAACACAAAAAUAAUAUUUUGGAAACCGCACUGUUCUAGGGGUCAGAUCUGUUUCUAAAUUCAAACAGUUCAGGAUUUUUAAAAAUGGAACUUAUAAUGAGAUUUUUUUUUAAUUAUAUAGUUAUCUUCAUAUGGAAUUUCAAUCUUUGUUAAUACUUUAACUUGCGCGGAAACAUCUGACUAUUCUUCCUCUUAUCCUUUUUUUUCCCCAAAUAUUGCAGCUUUCUUGGGAGAGGUUCAACCAAACUGCAGGGACAGUGAAAAUAUUACUCUAACGUGUUUCAGAACAGAGCUUCAAAGGUUUUAAUGUUGUGUUUUAAAGUUACAAGUAUUAUAUAUUCGUUACGUGUGGUUAUGUAAUUUGCUGAUAAAUAAGUACAUUGAGUGAGGUAUAUGUGUGUGCCUGUGUGGUCAUUACUGAAUUUCUCAGUAAUAUAAUUUGCAUUGACUGCAGAUUUGUGAAGAACAUUGAUGUGUUGUGUAAUGGGAACGGUGGUGUCUGUAUUUUGUGCUCUGUGAUUGACGACUUACAUUUGCCCAGGAAGAAAUGAAAACAAAUCGGCUUCUUGAAAUUAACCAUUUAUUCUUUCGAAUGGUAACCUUUUUGUGACAUGAUUCGCAUAUUAAUCAAAAGCAGUUGGCAAACUAAUUAGAUAUUGCAUCGUGAUUCGUGGCCUUGAAGGGAAAUGAGUGAGCAUGUUUGUGGAGGUUUUUGUUUUUGUUUUUUUUUUCCUCCAUAUGAAAUGACUAAUUCGAAAGAAUAUGUAUUGUAAUAGAACCUAGAACUUCUAUGUAUUUUAGGAUGAAAAUUCUGUACAAUAGAAAAUAUUAAAACGAAAAUUAAAGUUGAUGUGAGAAAAUUAAAGAA